AACUAUUCAAAAAAAAAAACGUAAAAUAAAAUAAUUAUUCACUUUUGAGUUCUUUUUUUUUUUUUUUUUUUUUAAGUUAGAAGGCUUGACGCAGUUGCCUUCAAGGUUUGAUUAGUAUAAUAUAAAGGGAUAUAUAGAGCCUGAAUAUCAUAUUAUAUAAGCAUGAAAAGAAGACCACAUAAUGACAUCAGACAAUACGUAAGUAUAAAAUGUAUGUCCCUUAAACCUAUUAAAUACAUAUUUUAUGCGACUCAAUUAUUGUAUGGGGAAAGUAUGAUCACUGAAGCACAACUUGAUCGAACAAAAAGAGAUUACAAUGUCUUCGUAAAACUUUCUUCAUAAAACUCUUUCCAAUCUCAAGGGUCAAAAAUUUUCUUCAUAAAACUCUUCAUGUCAAGCAAUGUCAUUGCUUGAAUGGCAUCCUCCUGAUAGAGGUUUUGCAAAACUUAACUUUGAUGCUUAUGUUCAACAUAAUCGUGUUGCGAUUGGUUUUGUUUUCCGUGAUGCAGAUUGUAAUCCUCUUACAGCAGCUGCUAAAUAUAUUGUGAUACUUCUAUCUUGUUGGCUGAGGCCAUAGUGCUCUCAAAGAAGGUCUCCAUAUACAGCUUUAUGGUUGCAACAAAUUAAUCCCGCGGAUUCUAGUUGAGGGAGACUCAAAGGUAUUGAUCGACUGCAUUAAUGGCAAGGUUGCAUCUCCUUGGUGCCUCGGUUCUAUUUUACAAGACAUUAGAUGGUUGACGUCUCAAUUUCGACAGUGUUUCUUUAGGCUAAUUUCGUGACUGAUAGACUAACUUCUCUAUGAUUGAUUGUUGUCUCUCUCCUAGUUUGGUUUCACUGCUUACCUAUUUUUGUGUACCCAAUGUUCCAUUUGGAUCAGCUAGGAAGGGGUGUUGUUAGAGGUUUUUCGUUGAUGUUUUGUUUUGUUGUUGUUUUAAUGAAAUCGAAAGAAAAAAAAAUGGCGUCAUUGUUUAGGGUUGAGGAAGUCAUCUGACCCUGAUCUUAUGUUGAAGAGAGUAAACUGCAAGUUUGCAACGUCUUCAUUCAAUGUGUUUCUCUCAUGCAAGGUCGUCACCAUUUUAGGUCGAGGUUGUCAUGAGCGUCUGACUAUGACUUUACUUUUGAGCGAGCAUCUCCAACAAUGGUUGAUAAAAUAGUUGAUAAAUUUUUAUGAAAGUUAUAUUUAUCAAUUCAUUUUGAGAGUUUUGUUCCAUCAGAGUAGCUAUUAGAGAAACUUAGUUAUUCAUUGAUAAAUUCUCUUUCCUGAAUUGAUAAAUUUGUCAAUUUUGCUUAUCAACUUCUUAAGUAUACUACUGGAGCAAAAAUUUAUUUAAAAAUUGAUAAAUCUCUAUUUCUUUUCAGCUAAUCAAAAUAUAUAUAUAUAUAUAUAUAUAUUGUCUUUAACGAGAACAAUAAUGCUUAUUUUUAAACAAGAGACCAUUAAAAUUCCGAAAGCUUGAGGUUUAGAGUUGAUUGGCGGCAUUGUGCUUUAUGCUAGCGAUGUGAGACACAGAUGAUCUAGGUGGAUACUGGAUAGAGCCGAUCGAGUACUUGGUAAAAUACAAGUCCAUAUCAACCUCCAUUUGUGAGACACAGUUUUGUCUGCAAAUCAAUUUCCAUCUUUGUUACUAUCUAAACCAAGAUAGCGAUCCAGUCAUCCCCAUCAAUGACUCAUCAACAAUAUUUAACACAAAAUGAAUGCAUUGUAUUUUAAUAUAAGUAAUCCCAAAACAUGCAUGCAAGGGACCUCACCUGGCUCACCAUCAAGAUCUGAGGCCUGAGGGUGAUUUUAUAAUCCUGGUCACCAUCACCCAUUUGGGUAAACCACAAGUGAGCUUUCAAGCUGUUGAAUAAUAAUGCAGAAAUGGAAGGCAUGCAGAUGCAGAUCCCAGCAGGUGGCUGGUAGGUGAUGCAUGCAAUUUCAUAUAAAUUUGGUUUUGGUUAUCGACUGUUGGAAGGAGGGAAAGGGUUUGUUAGUUGGCAAUAAACUAUGCUCGUAUCAAGAAACCUAUAGCCGCCUCCCCCAAAACGGUUUCUAAGAUUUGAGUUGUUCAUUCUCAUGUUACGAACUAUGGCUCCCAAAUCUGCUAAUGGUUUAGGCCCAAAAAAAAAAGUCCGAUCUAACCGUCUAGAGCAACUUCAAUUGAGUGGUUAUUAUUCUUAUUAUUAUUUUUUAAAAUAAAAGGCUGGUGCGGCUGUCCUUUAGUUUUUAUUAAUGGAAUUGUUGGAUACAAGCAUGAAGCUUAAACCACUUAUUACAAUAAACAUAAAGAAAAAGUUCCGAAAUAAUAUCGAGAAUAUAUACAAAAUAUUCCUUUAAAAGUAACUACAUUUUUUUUUUUUAGGAGAAAUUUGGAAUUCGUUGACUAAUUCAUGGCCAGAAGGCAACAUUACAUCACAUGAAGACAUAAUGCCUAGCUAGUCGACAUGUACAAGCACCCAAAACUAUAUGACCAACAAGCUUCAUUAUAAAUCUGCACAUUUAUACCUACGACAAAUGACAUUAACUUGAGGAGCUUAUUGCGGUCAGUAACAGUCUCGAAAGGGGCAAGGAAAAGUAUUUCGCCUCUCUCCUGAACGCGGAAUGAGUGCGAGAGGAUCCAGGUGCAAUGGAAGUGGAAGAUGAAUUAAUUCGGAUCCACUGGACGACGAAUGGCAGGUCGACCGAGGAGAAAUGAUUGAGAAGAAUGACGUCUAGGACAACCCCCGACCCCAACGUCAAGAGAAGCGCCGCUCGACUCUAGAGCCAAUGACGCCGCGAAAUUUGCGGUAAUAGCGUUAAUGAAGGCCAUAGUAACAGGGUGAAGGAAUUCAGAGUAGACAGAGUUGAGACUGAAGAGAUUGAGAAAAUGGUGAGGGUGAGGGAGGCCGAACGACCAAUAGCGGAACUUGGUUAAGGUCUGAGGGGAUCCAGGCUCCUGCCAUUAAUUUUGAGUUUAUUGAGUUUGACGUCAAGUUUGCAAAAAAGCUUAAUCUGUGCAUACCAUAUUGGACACCCUUCAUAUUGCUAUUUAAUCUUUCUUUAUGUAUUCUCUAUGAGUACAUCCAUCUUAUCAACCUAUGCUUGAAUCCCUCACUAUAAUCCGGUUAGUUUGUGUUUAACCAAAAGAAUCAAACAGUACAGAUCUAGCUUCAAUCAAUGGUAAGAAGAAAUAAACAUUUGAUGAUGUGUUCAGGAUGAUGGAACAAAGUUACAAUUUGGACCCCCCUCAAACAAUUUAGUUCCGCCCCUGCGAACAACGUUAGGUAUGUAAAAGCUAGGGCAAAAGGGUUUUCCUCUCCUAAAUGCUCGGAGCAAAAACGAGAGUUGAGUUUUUCUCAGCUUAGUAGUUGGUGUUACGACGGCGACUCUAUUUAAUUUGUCAUAUUUGUAACAUAAUAGAAAAAUUACUACUUUGUAACACGAUUACAUAUCUUAUUGUUCAUUAAUAGAGUUUUCCUACUAUAUAUGUUUCCGUUGGAGAAUAAAUUUGAUAAAUUGGUUUUAUCCAGCCACUAUAAGAUUAUGACCAUUUGACAAAGUAAAAUAUGCGUCACCUAACUAGAGUAGAUAACACACAUAGGGUGCAUAAACCAACACAAGGCCCAUGAUAAAAAUGUAUUACUGACCGCCUAAAGUUGCAUCUCACUAAAAUUGAAAGUCAAAAAAAAAAAAAAAAAAUUAAAUUGAGACAUAAAGAUGGUACAGGUUUAGAGUUAAAGCCUAAACCCACAAAUCACCAGGCCUAAUAAGCCCGAGGUUUAGAUUGCAUAGUCCACAACAACAUACUUGGAUUACUUGGGCGUCCUGAGUCCUCACACCACCACCAGCCGCGCCACUAUCUUCUACCUCCAGUCGGCCAGACGCGUCGGCCUUCACCAGAUUAUUUGAAGCCAAGCCUCCUAAACCGAAGAAGACGUACUGAACAGAUCCGACAUGAUAACAGUGGCACGUUGCCACUGCACGGUCAUCACCUCCAAACUCUCUCCGCUUCAAAGACACCACCUCAAAUCAUUGAUUAGGUUGUCUAUGCUCUAAUCUCGGACAAGAAGACCUUAGCCCCACCAUCAAAUUGUCUGGCCACUUUCUGCUCCCUUUAGGAUCUCCAAGCUCCCAGGGUCGUCAUCCUCACAACCACUCAUCCGGCUGAACCCCUCUCACCUAGACUCAAGGUCCAAUAUGGUCAGUCCGACAACGCUGCCGCGAGGGCAUGCCGUCGGACAAGGCAUACGCUUACUUGACGGGAAAUGGCUCUAGGAUUUUAGAGAGAAAGUUCAGCCCUCAGACUUUUCCCUAUAUAGAGUUGUCAUUUAGGUUUUGUCAAAUUUGAAUUUGACAUAUGACAUGAAAAUGUCAUUUUUAUGGAGAUAAGGAAAAAAUUAGAGAGGGAGAAAGAGCAGGUGCAUUAUGGAUUGUAAAAAUACUCAUAAAUCUUUCAAUCUUUUAUCAGAUAGUUAAUACCGUCACAAUACUAACAUUUUUAAGUACUUAUGUUGGGUCGGGAUAAGAAUGUUGCAUACAAAAAUAAUAUUUUCGUAACGUGAGAGACCAGACUCAAGAAUUCGUGUUAUUAAAAAUAAAAAUGAAAUGCCACAGUGUCUGCAUUGUUUCCCUAACAUCAAACAUCAAAUGUCAUAGACUCAUGAAUCAUGAAUUAAUGAUUCGCCAAGAAAGAGAACAGAUCAUAAUGCACUCUUAAACUCAAAUUACUGGUAUGUUGUACGGAUCAGUUAACAACUUUACGUCACAUCCUAUUGCAUGAACCCCAGAUUUUUUAAACUUGAGUAUCUUGAAUAAGCAAUGACCGACGCUCAACUGUAAUGAUAGAAACAGAGUACUAUAUUAGCUUAAUAAACUUAUUACAUAACUAUGGGCCUUAUUAAGCAGGAAUGACAUCACACAUAACAUUUGAAACACCGAAGAAUCAAACCCUAAUUAUUGAUCUCAAGCAUAAGAUCAUUCUUUCUCAACUCAGCUUUCAACCCCACAACUUCUUUCUCUGGGAAAAUAACAUUCACCAGUCUUCCUUCACCAUUUGGUCCUGGCUGAACCAAAACAGCUCCUUCAUCACCAACACCUUGUAUGCUGUAAUUCACACAAACUGGCUUAUGUCCCUCAGCUUCAAACCCAUAGAAGUCUGAACCUUCCCAGUUCACAAAUGUCAAGUUCGCCCCGUACACAAUAUAAUCCGACGCUCCAUUCUCGCUCUCCACCAAUUCUCCUAUCUGUGUUUCCUCGUAACUCUCGCGCUUAGCCAGCAUUGCUGCUAAACUUUUCGGAUCCAUAUCGGCAACAUCUGCAGCCUCGACUGUGCUUAUAAUCUGAUUGUUGCCGCAUUCCGCAACUGCAGGUUUAGUACCUUUUGUGCAGAUUGUGACUAAUUUCGGCUCCGACCCUUGUCUCAUUUUUGCCACACAUUGCCAAAUAACACCACAAAUGAGCUCGAAAGUUGGGAUUUCUUCAGCUGGGUUUGGAUUCUGACCCAGUAACUUGAGCUCCAAGCUGUUUAGCUGGGUGGGAGUGAGGACCAACGAGAAUGUUUCCAUCUUGUGGUUGUUGGGUGUGAUCCAGUGGUCACCAACUGAAUCCACUUUUUUUAGGGCUAGUGGUGAAGGGUGCUUGAGUUGAUGAAUAUUUGGUUUUGAUGUUUCCGGGUAAGGUGAAGGCUCCUUACCAGUCAUGGUUCGACUCAAGCCAUUGAAGAAGUACUCUGAAGCAGCCAUGGCAUCUCCCAGAAUAUGGGACCAGCUAAGCCCUAUUGACACUCCUCCGCACUUAAAACGAGUCCACUGCACAACCACAUUUGAUCAACUCAAAAAAUGGGGUCAAAUUAAAUUUCCAUGCUGAUGCGACUGUUAUUAACUAAUUAUCUAUCACCUUUUUUCUUGGAACAGUAAAAAGCAAACAACAACUACAAAACAAAACCGCAACCGCGAGUAACUCUGUAUUACAUUAUACUUAUUCUCACAUUGCUUUUAUCGGAUGAUUGAACUAGAGAACAAUACAACAACCCGAAGAAGACACCUCUUCAUUUUCAGUUACGGGAUACCCACUUUUAUCAGUUAUUCGAGAACCAAGGCUAGAAUUCAUAUCAUGUCCAAUUCAUCAUGUGCUUAAUAUUAAUGGAAUCACCACAGGGUUGGUGAAUUUGGAGUUCUUAUGAUCCAUCCUAAUAUCAGUAGAAUAUUUCAUUUUACCCAAACUGUGAAAGCAUUCUUCAAUUGGCCGGUCAGAAACAGCAAAAGGUAAACAACCCGAGUUGGUUUUCAUGCAUAUAGUCAGAACUCGAUCAACUCAGAACUAUCCUAUAAUUAGUGGGAAUGUGACUUUAUAAGAACUUGAACGAACAAAGUGGGUUUCUGUUUCUUUUGUGUUUUUAAACAUAAAACAUAAGUACCUGGAAGAGAACAGGAGGAGAGAAGAACAGCUCAGGGCCAAUGAUUUGGUUAGAAGCAAGCAGCUUGUGGAUAGACGAGUCCAUCCCUAGCCAUUCUUCAAGGGUCUUAUCAGACUGAGCCUCAAUGAACCUCGCCCCGCAGUCGUUACACUUAACAAAGGGCCGUCCGGAGGAUUCCGACCUCCGGAACCGGCCCAACACCCGCCAGUGUUCAAUCAACCAGACGAAGAUGGUUUCCUUUAUUUUCAGGACGCUUAGCCCUUCGGCUGCCUCACUACUGAAGAAGUAGACUCCUCUUAGGUAGUGGAGCUUCAUAGCCAAGUCCAUGCCACUUGGCACGUGAACCGUAUCCGCCGGCGUAAUCUUCCCCGACCCAACCGAGGAAAGCUUGAAGCCAUAGACCAAGCUGUCUUCCUUGGCUAAAACCAUGGUGUAGAGAAAUGAGAAAGGAGAAGUAGGAAAGUGAGUUGUGGUCAAGGCUGGAACUGUAGUGGUUUCCACUGUCCAAGAGUGACAACACUAUAUAGGGGUUUAUCGAGCAAAGAUCUGUUGGAUAAUUUAAUGGGCUUUUAUUGCACAUGAGGUAUCACUUGGUUGAGGAAUUCUUAGGUGCGACAAUCGUGGCUUGUGCGACCCUCCGACCGCAGACCGACACGUGUUACUCUUUUUUCCACCUCAGCCCUCUUUGCUGAGAAAAAAAAAAUUUCGAAUUUUACUAAUAGCAAAUCACAUAUACAUCCUCUCAAAUGAUUUAAACACAAACAAAUAAGGACAGUUUUUAACAAAUAAGGACGAAUUCUUUUAUGUUUGCCAUGUGUCAUGGUUUAAUUUACUAAACUGACCUUAUACAAAAUAAAUCAAAUUAAAUCAAACCCCACCAUGUAUUGUUUAGCUGCUACUGCGCUUACUGGAAUGUUGCUGCUACUACACUUCCAAUAAAUGCAGUAGCAGAUUUUUAGUGGUUCAGCUAGUGUAGUAGUAGCUCAGUAACUACAGUAGCAGGUUUUCAGUGGCUCAACUAAUGUAGUAUCAUAUUAAACUGGAGAGUUAGCUGCUACGUACUACACUUCCAACAAAUGUAGUAGCAGGGUUUUAAUGGUUCAACUAGUGUAGUAGCAACUUUAGUAAGUACAGUAGCAGAUUUUUAGUGGCUCCGCAAAUGUAGUAGCAGCUAUUUUCAGAACGUGAUGUAGUAGCACGUUUUUAUUGGUUCAGCUAGUGUAGUAGCAGCUUCAGUAACUACAGUAGCAGGUUUUUAGUGCCUCAACUAAUGUAGUAGCAUGUUAAACUGGAGAGUUAGGUACUACUACACUUCUAACAAAUGUAGUAACAGGGAUUUAAUGGGUCAGCAAGUGUAAUACCAGGUUUUUAGUGGCUCAACAAAUGUAGUAGCAACUAUUUUCAGUACGUGAUGUAGUGGCAGGUUUUUAUUGGUUCAGCUAAUGUAGUAGCAGCUUCAGUAACUGCAGUAUUGACAGAAAAAUUCAUUUAUGACUACUACUAUUGAUAGGGAAAGUUUAUUUAUGAAUUAUGCUACUGUUCGGUUCUACUAUAUCACUCGUCAUGGUCUCUGCUACUGUAGAGGACUUAUACUUCGUUUUUUUUUUUUUGUCUACUACACUUGUUGUACUCUUGUUGUAGUUAUGCUACUGCACUCAUGUUUUUCAAGUUUCUGCUACUACAGGAACAUUGAGUCUCCUCCAAUUAUACAUGCAGUUCUACGCAUUCAUCCAUCCAAUGUCAUCAAUCACUAAAGCCCAAACCGAUUUCACUUCUGGUUGUAAUUGAAUUCCAUUCUUCCUCACCUCAAUUUUGCCCUCAUCACCUUUCAAAUCCCUAACCCCUAAUUGACUCACCUUCACUUCCAAAUCCUAAACCCAGCCUCUCCUUGUACUCGAAAACGAUAGCGCUGAGGCUGACGAUUCUGACGAGGCCGUGGACGACAACGCGGCGAGACUAGAAAAGGUCGCGCAAGGCGACGUUGACUCCGGUGACUUGGAGGGGGCAGUGGUGAGGCGGAGAGCGGAGUAGGGGAGGAGAGUGGGGAGGAUGGAGCCGGAAGAGAUGGAUCGAAGGUCGGAGAGUCGGAGAGGGAUGAAGUGGAGGCGAAACGUUUCGAUGUAGGACGAUGCCGUUUGGAUCAUGUCGAGGGCGAAGAGGGAGGCGUCGGUGGGACCGAAGAUGGUGAAGGAGGCGUUGGGCGGAAGUGUGAGGAUCUCGUACUGGAGGUCAAAGGUGGCCAUGGCGUUGCAGAUGAGAUUGUAGCCAAGGUUGUGAAGCACGCGCUGCAUUAACUCGUUCUCGCGGGAGGAGAUCGACACCACGCAUGUCGGGAAACUGAGGAAGACGGCGACGACGAGGAGGAGUAUCGGAACUGGCAAGAGUGAUCGAACGGUGAACGUCGCCAUGGAAGGAGCAGAGAGAGAGAGAGAUAGGCGGAGAAGUGGGACGAAUAGAAACGGCGGCUAGGGUAUUUUGAGGCAGUGGUAGUUUUGUAGACAUUUCAAAAAAGAAUGAUUUUUUAGGUAUUUUACGUAAAAAAUUGUUGACAUGGCAUGGUACUAUGCACUAUGGGUCUCGGCUUAUAUCCUUAUUUGUCUAAAUAUGUUGAAAGGUGGGUUUUCUGUUUUAUGCAACUGUUUAGGUAGUGGGAUAUCAAUUUCUAUUUUGCUAAAUGUCCGAUGAAACCAAACCAUGACCUCUCCCUCUACUUGUUUGCCGCCGUCACACAAACGUGCAAAUUAACCCCGCUGCCGAUCGAGCACCACAAUCCCCGCCUCUCCUAGCAUGAAGCAACCCGCUGCCAUCUAACCUUGCACAAACACACCGUCGUUGAGCCCUGCAAAUCUCACCUCCACCAACCGUUCAAAACCCGCUGCCAUGAAGCCUAUUGAUCCCGUCGCAUCAAACCAAUCGGGCCAAAAACCCCCCACAUCAAUUCUCAGACAAGUCUUCUCUCUCAAUUCAUCCAUCUGGGUGUUUAGAAUUUCAUAUUUUUGGAGAAGAAGAAGGAGAGGAUUGUCUGUGUUGAGUUUGAUUUCGUUUUGGGGGUAAACCCGGGUUGAUGAGUUGUAGACAAAAAUCAAUCGGUGUUUGGGCAGGUUUAGUCCGUGUAGUUGAUCAGGGAGAUAGGAACUCGGAGCCGGUCGGAGAGAAAGGAACUCGAAAUUUUCUGUGAAACUCGGAGCCUUUUUCUCAUCUCAUUGGCGUGGGAAAAACCAAUUCAUGUCACUUGUUGAUUGGAGGAUCGCACAUGUCACGUGGUGCGACUGUCGCACCUAAGAAUUCCUCCACUUGGUUAGUUUAGAAGAACAGAUGAGCCUUCAUGCAUUGAUUAAAUUGUUGGCUUGAGAACAGUAUGGUAUUGGUUGGUCUUACGUUUGUUUUGAAUUUCNNNNNNNNNNNNNNNNNNNNNNNNNNNNNNNNNNNNNNNNNNNNNNNNNNNNNNNNNNNNNNNNNNNNNNNNNNNNNNNNNNNNNNNNNNNNNNNNNNNNNNNNNNNNNNNNNNNNNNNNNNNNNNNNNNNNNNNNNNNNNNNNNNNNNNNNNNNNNNNNNNNNNNNNNNNNNNNNNNNNNNNNNNNNNNNNNNNNNNNNNNNNNNNNNNNNNNNNNNNNNNNNNNNNNNNNNNNNNNNNNNNNNNNNNNNNNNNNNNNNNNNNNNNNNNNNNNNNNNNNNNNNNNNNNNNNNNNNNNNNNNNNNNNNNNNNNNNNNNNNNNNNNNNNNNNNNNNNNNNNNNNNNNNNNNNNNNNNNNNNNNNNNNNNNNNNNNNNNNNNNNNNNNNNNNNNNNNNNNNNNNNNNNNNNNNNNNNNNNNNNNNNNNNNNNNNNNNNNNNNNNNNNNNNNNNNNNNNNNNNNNNNNNNNNNNNNNNNNNNNNNNNNNNNNNNNNNNNNNNNNNNNNNNNNNNNNNNNNNNNNNNNNNNNNNNNNNNNNNNNNNNNNNNNNNNNNNNNNNNNNNNNNNNNNNNNNNNNNNNNNNNNNNNNNNNNNNNNNNNNNNNNNNNNNNNNNNNNNNNNNNNNNNNNNNNNNNNNNNNNNNNNNNNNNNNNNNNNNNNNNNNNNNNNNNNNNNNNNNNNNNNNNNNNNNNNNNNNNNNNNNNNNNNNNNNNNNNNNNNNNNNNNNNNNNNNNNNNNNNNNNNNNNNNNNNNNNNNNNNNNNNNNNNNNNNNNNNNNNNNNNNNNNNNNNNNNNNNNNNNNNNNNNNNNNNNNNNNNNNNNNNCUCUCUCUCUCUCUCUCUCUCUCUCUCUCUCUCUCUCUCUCUCUCUCUCUCUCUCUCUCUCUCUCUCUCUCUCUCUCUCUCUCUCUCUCUCUCUCUCUCUCUCUCUCUCUCUCUCUCUCUCUCUCAAAUUCACAUCCUCCGUCUCCGAUCUAUCCGAUUCACCAUUGUGGCCAAAUCGUCGUCGUUGCAGGCCACACGAGCUCGCCGGUGAAGACCUAGAGGCUUCGCGCGACCAACAUCUUGGUUUGGAAUCGUUGUCUACACUUCUUGGCGGAGAGAUCGGAGAUGCUCUAAUGGCUGUACCAUGUCGACGCCUCAGAUCCGCCGUCUCUCUGUCAUUAUUUGGUUGCUCCUCGUUCGCCAAAGCCGUCAAUGACAACCUCGACAACGAUGACGAUAAACCACUUUGGCGCUGCCUUGUAAGAUCCCGACGAAGCCAAGCUUAACUCUGCCAGCCGGCGAGAUCUAUAAGCAUCUCAAGCUCCUCCGUGUUGGAGGCAAUACCACUAGCAAAGCUUCCGCCGUUGAUCAACCAUUAAGCCUCCUUACCAAUUCGUUCUUUCGGUUCCAAAUCGAUGAACUUCUUCUUUAUCUAUUCUCUCGCCUCAAAUAAAACAACGGUGUUCCCCAAUGGCUUACUGUUACGUCGACAUUGCUGCUACUGUUACGUCGCAUUGCUGCUACUGUUAUGUGCUGCCACUAUUACGUUGUUUUUCAAUUGUUUGCUUGAAGGAAUUGAAGCCCAGUGGAAGUCCUUGGGUUGAUGAAUCUGAGCUAAAUAUACUGUUGAACUUAGAUUAGUUAUUGGAUUUCAUUUUCUGUAGAAGUAGCAAUGUAAUUGAACUCCUAGUCGGGCAGUAGCAGCAUUGUUGAACUCACAAUCGGGCAGUAGCAGCAUUGUUCAACUCUUAGUCGGGCAGUAGCAGCAUUGUUGAACUCACAAUGGGGCAGUAGCAGCAUUGUGAACUCCCAAUUGGGCAGUAACAGCAUUGUGAACUCCUAGUCGGGCAGUAGCAGGAUUGUUGAACUCACAAUCUGACACGACCCACCCCGAAUUUCACCCUGAAACCCAGAGUAAGUCGUGCGGGGACCACCUCCAAGGAAAAUUUACUGAAAAGAUUAAGCAAAUCUCCCUUGCAGAUGGACAACCCUAACUCGAAAAUUUCAUAUUACACUCUUAAUUUAACACUUCUGAACAACACAUAAUAUACAAAAAUUCUAAAGUAUUCAGAGCUACUAAACACAAGCGGAAGCAAGAAAACGCGAGUAGGUUGAACAGGUAACCUACUGGCGAAAACUGGCAGAAAUGCGGGUGACUAUGCCUCGUCUCCUACUAGAUCCAACCCGAACUCUGCAGACUGGGCAAUUUAAAACGAAGGGCCCAGGAGAAAACAUUUAAUAACGUUAGAGUGAGUGGACAAAAAUUAAAAUAAUAAAUAAAAUCUUUAUGUUUCCCCAAAUUAAUUUCUAAGGAAAAAUCGAAUGCAUGCCGCAAGCGAUAAAACUUUUAUCCUAUAAAUAUCGAGCCUCUCAGACUCUAUAAUAUAUGUAUGUAUUUACACUCGUCCAUACUCCCUAUAUAAAUUCAUGGGUCUAUAUAGGGCUACUACGCUCGCGUCCAACGCUCACGUCACGCCUUAAUGCGGUGCUACACUACGCCAUCAAGCUGGACAGACGGGUGUAUAAAUAUGUGUCCAUACCCCCUAUAUGAAUUAAACACUCAAAUAGGGCUACUACGCUUACGUCCAACGCUCACGUCACACCAUAAUGCGGUUAUAUGCUACGCCAUUAAGGUGGACAGACACAUAUGGCUAGCUAGCAUUUUUAUACAUACUCUCUCUCUCUCAUAUAUACAUAUUUAUCUUCACCGAAAAUCCCAUUUUCGGUAACUCUCUCUCAGAGAAAAUAAAAGCGUCAAAAUUAAUUGACGGCAAAACUCCAACAAAAGGAAAUGUUCAAUCAUGAACCAUAUCAUACAUAUUAUUUCAAAUUAAAAGUCCACUCACAAAUUAGGCCUAAGCCUGAUGUCGAUCUGGGGUCUCGUCUGCUCGAGCCUCCUCACGACCUGUUCCAAAUAUAAUAUUAAUUUCCCAACCAAUAAUCCAAAAAUUCCAUAACUUACUUCAAUAAACUCCCCUUAAUAUUUCCAAAUUUAACAACAUUAAAAUCUCCCAACCGGCGGCGGCUCCGCCGGCAGCGGCGGCCGGAGGUCAAUUCCGGCGACCUCCAAAACCUAUGAAAUUUUAACAGCAUCUUCCUCUCAUCAAGCUCUACAACUUUCAUAACUAGCACAAACACCAAUUCCAAGCCUAACUAGGGCAAUCGACUAAAAACAUCAAAAACACCAUAAAACUUCCACCUCAAAUUUCUCCUUACCUAGCUCAAGAGGGAGUGAGUCCUUUUAGGGCAAGGUUGCUGGGUUGGAGGGCUACAAAAACCAUACCAAGCUUGCCCGGAUUGGUGGCCGGAGGAGGAAGUUCCGGCGAGAAAACCGAUUCGGCAGUCGGAGCUUUCGGGCGGCACCGCUCACUCACGGCGGCGCUAGGGAGGCUGUCACCGGUCUAGAAAUGUUGCUGGGAGGGAGACCGACCGAACGGAACCGGUCCGGCGGCGAACGGAGGCCGGACGGCGGCGGGAGGGCGGCCGGAAAACCGGGCAGCGGGAAGAGAGAGCUCGGGGAGAGGAAGAGAAAAGAGGGAAGAAGAGAAAGGAAGGAAAAAGAAAUGGGUUGGGCCUCCACCAGUCCAACCUAUAUCAACCCAAAUUCCAAAAAUAAAAACACCCCGAAAAAUAAUACCCGAAUAAAAAUUACCUUUUACUAGCUAAAAUUUACCAUUUUUACCGUCGUCGUAUUUUCCUCAUACGAAUUAUCCUCCGCUCAUAAUCGUCCCCGAAACCCCUUUAGGGACCAAUUAAACUAUUUACUCAAUGACGGAGACGGUAAAAUUCUUAUUAUAAUCAGGCUAGUAAAUAAGGUAAAAAUAUAAGGGUCGGGAUGUGACACAAUCGGGCAGUAGCAACAUUGUGAACUCACAAUCGGGCAGUAACAGCUUUGUGAACUCCCAGUUGGGCAGUAGCAGCGUUGUUGAACUCCCAGUCGGGUAGUAGCAACGUUGUUGAACUCACAAUCGGGCAGUAGCAGCUUUGUUGAACUUCCUAGUUUUGUUAAACUUCCCAGUUGGGCAGUAACAGCUUUGUAGCAAGUACUAAGUAGUAGCACCUUUCUGAAUAUGUAGUACGCGUGUUUGCAAUUUAGUGAAUAAGUAGUAAGGGGUAUUUUGGUAAAUAUAUUGUGACAGAUGGCAAGUGGACAUUAAUUUGUCCUAAUUUGUUAUUUUUUGUCCUUAAAUAUGUAAUAUAAUGUGUAAAGGAUGUAUUUGUAAACUGAAAUUUAGUUAGUAACUAAUAUGUAGUUUACUAUAAUAAUAAUAUGUUCUAGGAUAUUCUGUAUCUUUCUAGAUAUUCUUUAUGUGUGCCUUGGCCUUAUGCCAAUAGGAUAUGUAGUUAGACUAGAUCUAUGUAUUCAUAUCCUUACCAUAUUUGUAUUAUGUAAUUCCCUAUAUAAUAGGCUCAUAUCAAUGAAUAAGAUGAUGAUUCUCUUGCUGUCUCUUUAUCUCUACACUUUAUCCUUCAUCACGUUAUCAUGCAUUUUGUUCUAACCCUAGAACUAAUAGCCCUCCAUUUUUUUUCCAAACCCUAAAAACCAAAACUGGAGGUUCUUGGCCCUGCCUCGGCCGCCGCCACAGUCGCUUCCCGGCCGUCCACUCCGCUGCUUUCUUUUCAUCCGAUCAAGCAUCUAAGUGUUUACGGUAUGUUUAUUUUACAACCCUAAAACUCUUUCAAGUUUAAUAACCUCAGGGGAGAUAAAGUGUAUUUAUGCUUGGGUCGGUGUAUUUACAGGUACCAAAAAUCCUGAAAUUUUAUUCGCGGGUCAAGAGUGUGUUGGAUCACUCUUGUUUCCUUGUCCAGGUUGUGUAUGAUCAACCCCGACCUAUCACCGGAUUGUGUUUGAUCAAUCCGAGGCCUUUUUACGAAUUGUGUUUGAUCAAUUCGCGGCUUUUCCGGAUUGUGUAUGAUCAAUCCGAAGGACAAACCAUUGAAAGCAUUGUUUGUGACCUCUAUCGAGUCUCAUAACAACUUGGUUUUGUAUGCAAGAGCGAUGUAACAUUCUGCUCCUUUGAGUUUUGACGUACUAGAUGCCUAAGGCGAAUCUUCGCUUGGUAUCUGUGGAACCUUUCAUUGGAAAGGAUUAAACCACAUGUUUUGACCCCCAGGCUAACAAGCCUAGAUGCCGAAAUUUCUCAUCUCAUGCGCUCAAAGUCUUUGACGCGCCACAUCGACAAAAGCCUUCAAUGGCAAUCUGUGCAAAAAGUAAUGACCACAAAGUACUGUGGAAUGCACUCAUGGAGCGUAUCUUGAAACGUUCAUAUAACUCUACUUGUUGAGUUAUUAGUCAAGUGGAUUGCUCACCACCUUAAUUGACUACAUAUUGUCAAUGAUUUUUUGUGGCAUCAUGAUCCAUAAUCUUUAGCGGAUUCGAUCAUCAUCAAGUUCUCUAAGUCCUCCAAGUUGGUUUGAAAUUACCAACGAAACUUGAUUUUGAUCAUACAAACGGGAAUUGUAUAUAUACGCUAAUGUGAUAAAUUUAUUUAGGAUUAUCCCCUAAUGUGGGGACAACAAUAUGGGUCAUGGCAACGGCAGAAAACGUCGUGCCGAUGUCUAAAAAAGAGGGGGAGGUGUCGCCGGCUCUAAUAGCGACACUCCCGGUCUAGACACCAUUUUAUCAAAACUACUCACGUCAGCUCAUGACAAUGCAACCGUUGUGGAUCUUCGGAUCACUGGGUCAAGCUCCUUCAAAUUGUGAAUGCAUACAAAAAGGUAUGGAAAAUCAAUAUGAGGACAAGAACGUCAUCCUCAUGAUCGCGAAUUUCAAAGAUUCGGAUCCUACUCUAGCUACUCAUGACUUUGACGUCAUCGGCUAGACAUUGAUUUUCAUUCCAAGCUAUAUGUACUAAGGCAUUGUAUCGACGUCCUUCGUCUAUUUGAGACCUCGAUGUACUCACAUUAGCAAUAAUGAAUGGCUUGAGAAUUUUUUCAAAGUUAUGAAAUUAUUCUCCUCUUAUGGUUCGUAUUGAUUUACAAACAAGAUGUAUAUUUUUACAUCGUCCUUAGAAGCAUGGCAUAUUUACAAUCUACAUGGUUAGAUUGUGCCGUUUUGGUCUCUUCCAAGUGAAGAUGACGCACGGCCUUCCAUCCUCAAGAAGGAUCGCUAACGUGUUUCCAGUUAAGUCUUCUACCCUUUAGCGGAUUUUCCAUCAUCAAUUAUUCAACUAGGCUUAUCCAAGCUCAGUGCGAUGUCUUAGAAUUGUCUGAAAUUAAGGAGAUAGUGGUUUCAAGUGUGCCUCGCACUACCGACCCUCCAAGGACAUGCUUGGUCAUACUGACUUGGAGUUACCGAAAGCUUUUGAUUUUGGAUCCCCCUACGCUAUUAAACCAAUUGCCGUCUUGCAAAAGACGUUGAAGACUUAUCAAAACCGGAAAAUUAUCAUCAUGAUCGAAUCCUCUAGGUCCUCUGAGUUAAUUUUAUGUUCAUGUCAGGGAGCUUUUGCUAACUAGUCAUGGAGUUUACGACCUUAGAACGACCGAAAAGACUUGAUUUUGAACAUACACAUGUCACUUUUGGCUAAGGCAAAAGCCUACACGCCACCUGCAAACUUCACAGCUUCGCACAUGCCAAUUCUGCGAAAAACAGCAAUCUGUCCUUUCUGGACAGUCAACUUCGUUUGAGCUUUGUGAAUAGAUCCAGACGAACCAGACAGUGAGCAUUAUAUCAUUGGAAAGCUCUAUGAGUCUAGUUUUUAGGACUUUUUGUGGUUUGUCCAUAUCUAUUUUAACGAAGAAGUUAUGGCUGUUUUAGUGCGCAAAGGUCAUUCUACGCGGAAAUUUUUAUGCACUCUCGGGAUUGCUGCUUUUCGUAGCUUCUUUCAAUCCUUCUAAAUGGUUCAAGUGGAACUAUUAACUAGCCUAUCUACUCCUUCUUGUAGAUAUGUCUCAUAGAGACAUUGAGUGCUUCGCAGAUACGCAGAUAGUGGAACUAUCCACAACAUUCUAAGAAACCGGCAACUAUCUUUAGAUUUUGUGCCUUUGUAAUCUUCUGUGACUACAAUAAUUGAAUCAUACCGGUCAUUCAGGGACGCGGUUUAGCUUGAAUUUUGAUGCCUCAUGGCACCAUGAUCAACGUCACAGAUGUCCUCUAUGUAUUGAGAGGCAACCGAACCAUGUUGAGCUUUAAACACAUUGUGAGAAUGAAUAAAAAUUCUUUUGUGUAUACCUUCUCAUGAAUGCGGACUGAAGUGCAUCUUGGAGAAAUUCAUGAGUCAAUUUAGUGGACUAUAUGUCACUACGCGCAUGUUGUCACCAAACAUGAUAUUUGGGACACCGACUCAUAUAGGCUUUAGUUUUGACCAAUUAGGGUCAUCCUGGAAGAGAUAUAAUGGUCCAAAUUUUGAGAAAUUCUCAUAGACAUCCAUUCUUCCGCUCAAAACGAAGACAUUCGAGAUCUAGCAUCACCAUGAAGCAUGGUGGUGACCCGGGGGACAUUGAUGUCACCCGAACACGACUCCAACUUCCUGGAGGUCGUCCAGUCAAUUCCUCAAGCAAUUGAGGUGCACCAGUCUUUCCUCGAUGUCGCAUUGGCCCCCUACAAUGCUUAUUACUCGUUUUGAAAGCCUAUUCUUUAGCUAAAUUAUGAGUGAGACCCUCCUACGCUAAAUAACACAAAAGUGAACAUUCUAUUCUUACAUAAAAUUAUGUAGAUAGAUACAACCAACUUGCGGACACCUUUUAUGCUUUAUGGUGUUGGUUGAAGUGUUAACACACUGGUCAUGUGUUACACUAUUAUCUACUGCUUAUGCUGCUUAUACUUCUACGGGCUCACUACCCAUUUUUUAAAGAAGUUUAUCGGGAUGUAAGUUGAAGUGUCAUGUACCCCAUGUUCACAUGCUAUACGGUCUCACCGAGGCUACGACUAAGCAACUUUAACUUGUCGCUCGAACAUUAUUGAUGCGCACCAAUCUUUCUAUUGCGUCUUGGGGCUAUGCAAUACUUCCAUGCGUCUUUACUAUUCAUCUACGACCUACCAUCAUUGAAUAUUUUUGUACUAAAGCUCGUGACUGUGUACCAGGAUUGCAAUCCUUGAGCUCAAACAAGAUUGAAACGGAUCUCCAAUUCUUGAGCUCGGCUAGAUAUUAUUUAUAGGUGCCAAAUCGCAUUGCCACUACGUACAAUGAUGGCUCAUUUGAGAUGAAUAAGUAUUUAGGUUGGAUAUGAACCUCCACCUAUAAUCCGCAUAUGUAGAAACCUUGCCAGGCGAUCUCUUUCACCGCUAUAUUGCGGAUGGUCACUUUGAUGAGACAAUAUUCCCGUCGUUAGGGGGAGAUAAGAACACAAGUGUUCAAGUGGAACGACGUGAAUUGUCGUGGUUUGUCCCCACUAAGUCUCAUCUUGAUCCCAAAUGCUUAAAGUGUUAAAGUGACGAGAUCACAUGCUGCAAAUAUGUCUGCAAUGAUUGAUGUCCUACAAAAGGACAUGGUGCGACCAAAAUGUGUUGGUCUUGACGCCAUCACCAUGGAUGGUGAUAUAGUGACGGCAUAUAGUGGCAAAAUUGGUGUCACAAGGCCGUGUGGCUCCCUAAAAAGAGAGAGGCCCUUAGGUUCGAUACUUUCUCGCACUAGGAAGAAAGCGAGCUUGGCACAACCUAAUCCAUUGAUUAGUGAUACUCAAAUCCGUCUCAUGAAGUCUGAAUUGUGAUUAUCGUUGGGGGACGCCUCAAUGUCAAAUCCAAUUUAUAUAGAGAUCUCUACAAGUAUUACACUAGUGUACAUGCGGACGUGGGAUAAUGAGUCUACUAUAGAACCAUCUUUCGUUGAUGGAUAUCAACUUAGUUGAUUGGCCUAACGGAAAGAUGCGAUCCAGCAUUAACAAAGAGAUAGGUCCUUGGGCAAGUGAUGCCGACACUGCAAGCUAAACCCUAUCAAUUAUACCUUUGUUAGAUAGCGUAGUGAGAACAAGAGUUUAAACUCACCUUAUGGCGCAAGGUCUCUCACUAUCACGCACUGGGAUCGACUACAAUGAGAUAUGCUCUCGUAAUGGAUGUCAUUGAACUCCACUACUUUGUCAGUUUGGUAGUUUCUGAAUAACUGAACAUGUAGCCUAUGAAUGUGGUCAUAAUAACAUCUCUAUGGGAUUAAUCUCUAUGGGAUUAGAGAUAUACAUAAAGCUCUUAAACGGACUUCAUUCAUCUGAAUCAAGUGGCUCCAAACCACAGGAGCAUGCGUUUGCUAAAUGUAUUGAAACGCACAUGGACUCUACUUGAUUUGGAAGGGAUAUGGUGAAUUAUGCCUUUGCGUGUUCAUUCCGAAUUUACAUGGAUUCUUGAUGGAUCAAGAGAUGCCAAUAUGUAUCAACAUCCGAAGAAAAAGAUCUUGGGAAGACACGGUCUCGAUAAGGCACUCGAUGACUGUAUUAAUGAUGAUUUUCCAUCAAUCGGCUUAGGCGCUCCAUAACUAGUGAGGCCUACAUAUACUCCCAUGAUUAGUCAAGAUCUUUGCUCUAAAGAGAGAUCCGUUGUUUUGUCUAAAGCAAGAUGACAAAUAUGUGUUAAGAGAUGGAGUUCCCAUCUAAGUACAAUAAGACGCAUCAAUGUACUCAACACAAUACGAAAGGCUUGACAUCUCAUUCGCUAUGAAAAGUUGUAAAGCUAAGUGUAGCUAUGCGCCCACGCAACGCCAAUGUAAUGGCAGUAACUCCUUUUUCAAUACUUAAUGGUAUGAAAGGUUGAGGCUUAUUCUAUCCCUACAUAAGAAAGAAACAUUAAUAGCGAAAUCAGAAUCUGCCAAGUUUCGUAGGUCAACUUCCACGGGACCUACAGGAAACCUCACUCAUUGGAAAAUGGUGAAACUGAUACCAUUGGAAAGAUCUAUGUGUCUACUUUCCAGGGACACCAACCAUUUGAUCAUACCUAUCAUAUUGAGUGAGUUAUGGCCGUUUUCGUAAAGUAUGACGAAUCUGUCCGAGAAUCUGAUUUUGGCAGAACAGUCAACUUCGACAGGACUUUGUGAAUAGCUCCUGACGAAGCAAAAUGUGUGUAAUAUAUGGUUGGAAAGCUAAAUGAGUCUAGUUUCCAAAACCGUUACAGUUUGUUCAUAUGUAUUUCGUAAAGGAAGUUACGGCUGUUCUAGUAACUGAAGGUCAUGCUGCGCGGAAAUCUGAUUUCUUACACGAACUUAUGUUUUGAGUUCACAAGCGGCCUUCUCCUCAGGAUCUAAGUGUAAAAGAUCAUUUGAGGACAAUACGGAAUGAUUUAGUUAAUCAUUGCCUAAUGCCACAUUUGAAGACAUGUUAAAGAGCAUCGACAUGCUAAGUUGUUGAAAUUUCUGUGAUUAGUAAGAAUCAGGAAGAGCCCUAUGAUUGAUGUAAAGAUCAGGGGGAGGUGCAAACUUCAGGGGGAGGUGCAAACUUUAGGGGGAGUCUAGCACAUACAUACAUGUCACUAUCAAAUGUGAAGGGUGCGUUGUACUCUUUUUCUCCUACGAUCAAGGUUCAGUUUUUCUCCCACAGGGUUUUUGUGACUUGACGAGGUUUUUGACAAGGCAACAGAUUAGCACCAUCGGCAUAUCAGCACGCGGCACAAGGGGGAGUGUUCUAGGAUAUUCUGUAUCUUUCUAGAUAUUCUUUAUGUGUGUCUUGGCCUUAUGCCAAUAGGAUAUGUAGUUAGACUAGAUGUAUGUAUUCAUAUCAUUACCAUAUUGGUAUUAUGUAAUUCCCUAUAUAAAAUGCUCAUAUCAAUAAAUAAGAUGAUGAUUCUCUUACUAUCUCUUUAUCUCUACACUUUAUCCUUCAUAAUAAUAAUAAUAAUAAUAAUAAUAAUAAUAAUAAUAAAGAAAAAAAAAAAGUGCUAAAUCAUCACUUCUAUUCAUUUAUUUCAAGUUGCUGCUAACCCUACGUCUCGUCUGUUGGCCAAUUUAAAUUUUUUUUUUUUUGUAGAAAUGAAAUUGUUUCAUUGAUUAUGCAACAUUACAAUAGAAAUUCCAAAGCACUCUCUAACGGAGAGAUGUUGCACCUAAGAAUAUAAAAUUACAUUGAGGUAUGAAAUUCAUUACGUCUCGUUUGGUUCACGGAAAAGAAAAUAAUUUCUUUGUCUUUCUUAUGGGAAGGGAAGAAUGGAAAUGAAAUUUCUCAAUAUUUUGUCUUUCUUACGUUGUUAACUUUCUUUUAUGAUAAUCGAGGUGACGUCAAUUAAUUAAUGUAAAAUUGAAAAUUACAUUGCAACAUAGCUCACCGACCUGUAAUCUUUGGCUACGUCAUAAAUGAGCCAUAAAGGCAAAACCUUAACUUCGACCAAAGUAAACUAACCUUAGUCCAUAAAAUUAUAAGUAACCAAAACCACGAUGUUAUCAAGGUAGAUACCGGAGCAAGAUAAACCCCUAGUUUGAACAUGGAAAACCUAGGAUUUCAUUCUGGGAUCACAUUGAUCAUUCCAGAAGAGUUUGGGGACUGUUGAUGUGAUUAUCUGCUGACAAUAAAUAUUUUUGGUGGGUCUCAUGCGGGACACGUCAGCACACAAACAGUGCGGUGAUGAAAAAUGGCCUCCGGUCUUUCGUUGGUAGCGAAAAUGAAGUUUGGAUACCACAUUGGUAGUUAUGUAAGUGUGGGUAUCAUUUUGAUCGUGCCACAAUAGUUUGGUGACCGGUGCUGAAAUUUUCUAUUCAUUUGAAUUGCAACAGUAGAACUUAGUGAGCAGCAUAUUUACAACACAAUGGCAAUUUUAGUAAAGAUAAGACAUUACAGUGAGUUGGGCAGAAACACGAGCAAAGGACACAAAUAAGAUCACCAAAUUGCAACAAUAAGACUUAGUGAGCACAUAUACAUAUGAAGUAGAAGUACUCAACACAGCGGCAGUUUUAGACCAGACAAGACACUGCCAUGAGUUGCGCAGAAACAAGAGCAAACAGAAACGAGAGCAAAGGACACACAAAUAAGAUCACCAGAAACAAACUGUAACAUUUCCGGGACGAGUAUUAGACUUCAGACGACUUAAUGUCAAACGACAGAUGAUAAAUAUUCAAGGGAACAUCGAAGUUUUAUGAAAUAAAAACCAUUGGUUGACACAAGAUUUUUGGAUGUCAAAUGUCUGAAAACUUGAAACAAAAAACAAAAAAAAUUAUUUGACGGCAACUACUACAUUAUAAAAAAUAUUGUUGGGGGUUGAGGAAGACCAUAUGUCCAUAUCUGAUGACCUUUCUAAAUCAAUUUCAAUUCUAUUAUUAGCUAGGGUUGGGAGAUAUGCUGUUAGUAGUUGAGAAUAGUACUGUUGGAGGCAGAGAGACCUUUCUGAUAUUAAUUCCAAUUCCUUCAAUUGCUAGCUGUAACUGAGAGAAACUAUUGUUGGCUAGAUUGAUGAGAGAAAAUAUUGUUGAGGGAUGAGAAGUACCGUCUAUUAUUGGCUUCAGCAUGGGCCUCUGCUUCUUUGUGAGCAAUAUGUUUUCAUCAUUCAAGAUAGUACAUAUACCAAUGACUAAAAUAUCUAUUAUAUCCUCGAUAUUUUCAUGAAAUUUCUGUUUUAUUCAAGCAUCGAUAUUAAUUUUCAUAUCUUUCCGAUAUUAUAUAUUUAGUCUAUUUUUGAUCGAAUAUACAAUUUUUAUAUAUAUUUUGAUAAAAUUUUCAUCGAUAUUCGAUAUUUUCUCGAUAUAUCCAUCGAGAUUUUCUUUUUCCGUACCAACAAUAUUUCCGUAAUCGUCAAUAUUUUAGUCCUUGACAUAUACUAUUUUGAAAAUUUACUCACAGAACUAACAACAUGAGUAAGUUCUCUAUAUAGAUAGAUUGAGAUUUGAACACUAUUUAUCUGCCUUGCUAGAAACAGUCCUCUACUCAUAAUGUCUCCUGCAUAUGUGAUUGAAGAGAAAUGUAGAAAAAACAGCCUUUUUUAUGACCUUGAAUUGAAUUAUAACCAACAUCUAUAAAAUAGUUGAAUUCUAACCAUUUAGUAAUAUCAAAAGGCAUAAUUACCCUAACUUUUAUAAACUUCUUUCUUUUCCUUUUUGUUGUUGUUCACCACGUCUUGUUUGACGAUCAUGACUCCAUCGACUUUGAUUGGAACCCAGAUUUCAUAUAUGUUUUGUUGUUUUUGACUCGAGCUCUCUUACAAUCAAGAUUUCGGCAAUCAUUGGCGAGAGGCAUAUGGCAUGGAUUAAAGGAUCUUUCAUGUGAUUUCGGUAAAGAUUUAAGGGUACAUACCAGAUAAUUCUUAAUCGGCAUGAAAUUUCAAAGAAGGAUUCAUUGAGGUUAGAAUUUUGUUCUACCUCUUUCAAUCAAAGAAGGAUUGGAUUCAUCCCAAACCAAAAUUUCAUGAUUAUAAAUGGAUCUUUCUUCUUUUUAUUUUGUUUUUUUUACUACUUCCCAAUACCCGGCUCAAUCAAAGGUUUUUUUUUCUCUAACUAAUAUAUAAGAUGAUGGCAAGCAAAACGUUGGUUUUGCAGAGAGCAUGAAUCACAGGUUGACAAAUAAACGAAACAAAAAGAUGAUGAGAUAGUUACAAGCAAUGGGCCAAUUGCUAUGAAUAGGAUGCAUAAAUAGAAGCUUUGCUCCAUAAAACUAUGGAGGAUCACAAUAAUGCAGAUGAUGGGGUGGUGGAUCAUAUGCUACAAGAUGUCAUAAGUAUAGCGAUGGUUAAUAUCGAGUUCAACAAAGAUGAGGCUGCAAGUCUGCAACAGUGCACUUAGGUUAACUAAGGCCACUGAUGUCUUUUCCCCACUGCAAAAGGCCAUUUUUCUUUCAUUUUCAAAAUUUAGGUUAAAAAUCAAUUCAUGAACCAAAUAAUGGUUUUUUAUCAAAAUUUCUCGUGAUUGAAUCUGCUGAUUUCGUCCAAAACAAAAAACAAAACAAAAAAUCUGCUGAUUCCAUAGUAUAACCACAUCGAGCAUUCAAGUAGCACCUAAUUAUAGACAAGCUUUUAUUAUGUGUCAUAGGCAUGCGUGCAUACAGAGGCCUGCCGAAAAAUUUAUGAAGAAUAAUUAUCCUCUGCACAACAUAAAGCAAAUUUCGUGGCUGAUGCCACCCGUUCAAUAGAACACCAUAUUUGGUCCAACCAGCUUUCCCUUCCAGCUCUUGAAUUGGACCAGUUUGGUCCAGAGACCUCCUGUGUGUUUUCACUAUUAUCUGUACUAUAUUCAAAAGAAGAGUUCCAACCAACAUUACCCUAUAACUUAAGAAAAGUUAAAACUUAAGAAAUUUAAGUUAUAGUCACCCUUAGAGAAGUGUAAUCAACUACCUUAUUUGCAUCCAAAUUAGGAUCCCAUCUACAGAAGGUGUGCAAAUUCUCAUCCCUUUUCUCAGUUCCUAAAUGUUGUAGUCAUACUUGCAGGAAGCAAAGCUGAUAUGUAUAUCCGGGUAUGAACGAUAAUCCUGAGGCCAAUGGGAGAAUGCAACUACUAUACUUUUCCUCUAUCUUACAUUUCUUGUAAAUAAGAGUUCUAUGUUACAAAUCAAAAUUGUGGUGGAGUUGCAAAGACCACAUCUAGUUUCCCUUAAAUUCUCAAUUAGAAAGAGCUUCGCAGCUCCUAAGUGAAUCAAAAACAAAAAUCGCACAACCUAUAUAUCUCCCUUUCUACGCAACCUUCACUUGUCGCGCUUAUGAAAACUUUCCGUUUUGAUGAAUUGGUGGUGACCUGCUGUGGGGGAAGACCUUUCUUCAAUUCCAAACAGCCCUCUCCUGGUCCCGGAGCAUUUGCCUGAGUUGUGACAGAUACCUUAGCUAGUUAAGACAGUUUGGGAACAAGGCCAUCGGUCAUACUCCCUGCAACAGCCAAUCAAAGGCGAAUGCGGGUAGGACAGAUAAAAACAUCCAUUACCAAGCAUCGGAUGCCUUUCCAACAAAUUACUGACAACGGAGUUGGGAGGUGAAGCAUGCCCAUUUGAAACCGAUUAAUAUGGAAUCACAUACGGCAAAGCACAAACAUCAGCUGACUCUAUCCGCAGAGCUUCUGACCAAACUUGUGCGGUCUCCUCAUCCGGUGAAGAUUCCACCUUGGGCUUCUUUGAUUUGGUAUCACUGCAACCAAAUAACCAGUCUUGAUCGUCAUCAGACAAUUCAUUCAUUUUUGGAACCGUAUAAACCUCACUUAAAAAUCUGGAAUCUGGAUGGGGCGGUCUCAUUGAUGCUUCAGCAAUUGGAUCAGCUUGUGCAGCUGUAGAAGGCGGCUUUGCAGGGGAAGCAGAUGACGGUCUAGCUUCAGUAAAGCCAUUCUUCUUACGUUCCUUACUGUCUAUUUUAACACUGUUGGCUCCUCCCUGCUUAUCUGAAACAUAUGGGAUGGACGUUUGACAAGGCUCCAAUGUCCUUCCAUUUUGUGUCAAUGGAUGAGAGGAAGAAGAGGGUCGCAGCAAUUUAUUGGGCCUAAUUUCAUUGGCUGUAAGAUCAGAAAAGGAAGCAUCAUUAGUCAGCUAGAAGAAACUUACCAAAAUUUCAAUCUGCUUCACAAAAGUGAGUCAAGAGCAGGGCCAGCUCACUGUUACCAAGUGAAAUAUAAUGCCACUCGGGUCAAAAGGAAACAAUGGAUAACAGAAUCUGAUAUUCGGUAAAAACAGUAUACCUACAACCUUCAGUUGUAGGGAAACAUGGCCAAGUUGUGUAAGACAACUAUAUAACAUUGAUUUGGCUGCAAUGAUGAUACUUUACAUCAUGAAAAAACACUCACCAUGCAAAACUCCAUUUGUCUUUAAGUCCUUUCGUUUCUUCAGGUUUCCCUCAGCAUCGGCAGUUUUGUUGCUGUCCUUCGGAGGUUGGGAGGGUUCGCUGUACUGGGAAUCGAUUGGAAUCUCUUUAUUGGUUUCUCUAGAUUUGUCUGGUUCUGCAUGCUUAGAACCGUUUGCUUUGUCUUCCUUUUUCUUCUCUUUAUCUGGCUCUGCAGUCCUCGACGCAUUUUUCUUCUUUGCUUUCUCCUCCUUCUUCUUCUCUUUAUCUCUAUCCUUAUCUUUCCCCUGGGUUUUCUUCUCUCUAUCUUUAUCCUUACGCUUUUCCCCUCGUUUAUCAUCACCUUCCUUCUCUUUCGUCUUAUCUUUUCCAUCAGUCUUUCUUUCAACAUUGCUCUCCAAUGGUUUGGAAAGUCCUUGAACUUUGGCUUGAACCAUUCCGCCAGGAACCUGAACCAGUCCGCCAGGGUUCUGCACCAUUGCACUUCCACUAACCUGUGGUGCAACUCUGACUUCUUGCAUAUCAGGCUUUCGGAUAUCAACUCUCUUGUCCUUGCUAGUUUCCUUAACUUCGGCCAAAAUGCCAGUUCCCUUGGCCAUAAAUCUGACCAUCUCCUCAUCUUUUUUGCGGUCUGAAAUAGUAAUCUUCUCAACGAACUGGUUCUUAAUUCCUCUGGCCUCAUCCUUAGUCUUCCUAGCCACCUCCACUGAUACAGAAUUCCUGUUCUCCGUAGGCAGGUGACUGUUCUGGCCAAGCUUUUCUGCCUGGUAACCUCCAAAUUGGCUUCCUCUGGCCUCAUCCUUGGUCUUCCGAGCCACCUCCACCAAUAUAGGAUUCCUGCUCUCUGCAGGCAGGUGACUGUUCUGACCACGCUUUUCAGCCUGGUAACCUCCAACUUGGCUUCCUCUGGCCUCAUCCUUAGUCUUCUUAGCCACCUCCACCGAUACAGAAUUCCUGUUCUCCGCAGGCAGGUGACUGUUCUGACCAAACUUUUCUGCCUUGUAACCUCCAACAUGGCUAGCAUCUCUCUUGUCUCUAUCAUCUUUAUGAAUGAUUUUCUCUGUAACAUGAUUCUCAAUUUUUCCUGGAAGCCUAGUUCCAUCUGAAGUACCAGGUUUAUCUUUGACUUUGUCUGUGUCUUUCUCCUUAUCCUUCUUUUUGUCUCUGUUCUUUUCCUUCUUGUCUUUCUUUUCCCGAUGUUUUCCAUCACCUCUGUCUUUCUCACUUUUCUCUUUGUCCUUCUUGUCCUUUUUAUGCUUCUUUUCUCUCUGCUUCUCCUAUAAAUUACAAACACAUAUAAGAAACAAAAGGACAUACACUUGAAAAAUUAUUCAAGGUUCAUAUUUUUGACAAAUAAAUAAAAACUAAGAGCUUUCUCCGAAGAAAAGCCAGUAAGAAAGAACUAUAACUAAUUGAACAUCAAAGUGAAAAAUAUUCCCUUCUUCAAGACAAUAUAUAACCUAGUGAUGUGACUCGAGUAUUUGGAAAUCCAAAAUCAAUAAUCCUCCACCUUCCGAGAAGUAAUGCUCUCCACAAACAAUCCUUGUAUUAUUCCAUAAAUCCAAAAACAAUGAAAAGAAAAAGAACAAAAGGUUGCAUCUUUCACAAGAACAGAAAAAUAAUCAACUCCUGCGUUAUAUCCUUAGUUAUAGCCAUUAAGCAGUGUAAGUAACAGAUUUACUAACAUGUAAGUGUCAUUCUAGUCCCUAAAACCAUAAUAUUCUACCAGCACAACCUCAAAAGGAUUUUGAAUACAUAACAUUAAUCCAUAAUGCAUUUAUAAAGGAAGCCUUAGGACUUAAUUAGCAAAAAGACUAUCAAAACAGGCACAGUGCAAAGUACUUAAAGACCAUACCAGCUUCAAAAUUUCCCUCUCCAAAUCAAAGUGCACCUUUCAGAAUGUAAAAUCUAGUUGCAUAAGAAGGUGCAGAAUUGAGACAUAAGAAGACAGUGCACCCCAAGAAAGCUCAAAACAAGCAAGUAAAAAAAAAUAUUAUAAAUAAUUAAACUAAUUAAGCGGACUAUAACAUUUCAAAACCAAGAUGAUCAUACCAUAACGCAAGACAAACCAAACCAUCAUCGGCAAGACAUGUGUAAGACGGUGGAGAAGCAUACCAUAAUGCAGUCAAACCCAAACCCCAGUUCCAGACAAGCAAUUGAAAAAUAUCAAAAUAUCUUACAGUUCAAGGAGUACUGAAUAGCAAAAGAAGGAUCAUCAGAUAGCGAUCAUCAGUAAGAAGGAAGACACAUGAGCCGAAGGAAUUCAAAUACAUGAAGAGAAAACUCCAUUUUGUGAUAGACAACAAGCUAUCCAUAGUGCACAACAAAAAUGAUCUUACGGUUUUAAAUCCAAGAGACAUGAAGCACCGUAAACAGUUACAGUUAUCGGCUCCACUCUUUGUAAUAUCCCCAUCAUACAUAACAAGGAAUCCAAAUGCAAUAAACGAAAGCAUACACUUUACUAAGUGCAUCGAAAUUAUUUUUUACCUUAUUUAGAUAACAAACAAAUAAACGAAAGGUAAAGUCGAAAGCCUGGGCAGCAUGCAAAGUGGACCCAAAAUAUAUUUUCUUUCUUCAUAGGUACGAUAGGAUACAAACUCAUUAGUAAUAAAAUUUUAUAUAAAUGACAUCCACAGAACGGAGAAAACAUGAAGGAAGCCACACAGCCAACAAGAAAAUAAAAACACUAGACAACAACAGCUCUUGGAUUUCUAUAGAAAAAAAAGUAUCCCUAAACUCUCAUGAAACUGAAGCCCAUGAGAAGGCUAAUAAUGAAUCCUCUCCAAAACAUUACUCAGCUCCCCCCUGCCAUCUUAAGCUCUUCUGCUUCUUUCCAUCCCAAUCACUCAAGUAAUAGCCAAUAUACCACAUCUUUCCAACACCCAAAUAUUCUUCCUCAACAAUAAACGUGUGCCUUCGACUCACAUGACCUUAUGAAACAGGUAACCCGAGGUCCAAAGCUUAGACAGUGUAAGAACAUAUCAGCUUCAACUUUGCACAUCACUAGCCAAUGAGGAGAAAGACAGAGAUACGGACUUCUCCUCUGAAGCAUAUCACAUGUAUAAGUCUUCCCAUGAACAAUAAUCAUGCUAACACUCAUACCUUAGGAGGUGCUUUGGCAUUCCAAAUCGCAGUAGAUGGAGUAAUUUGAGUAAGUGGAGGGUUGUCCAUCAAGUGCUAGAGUAAGACUUGCAGGAAAAGCUCCCUAUCGAUUCCAGCACCUAUCUUCUCCUAUCUAACCUAGAUGAGGUCAGCACCACACUACCUAAUUUAUCUAGUAACAAACGUAAGAUCCUCAACUUCUUGAUCAUUCAUGUUCCUCCAGAACCUAAAAUCUUAAAAGAAGAUAGCACUCAUUCUAGUAAUAUAAUUUUUUUUUUAAUUGAUAACAACAAGAAGAGGUUUAAGAGAUCCAUGCAUUACAGAAGAAGAUGAAGAAAAGUGAACCUGAGAACGUAUCAUUUAAGAUGUUUGAUGCCAGAGCACAAAACAUUUAAGAUGUUUGAUGCCAGAGCUUCUCAUAAUUUAUGAGAUCAAGAUAUUAAGAGUCACAAAAUAGAAGACCCAAAUUACAGAGAGAACAGACAUUUAGAGCAUUCCAAAAUUUGGUUUUCCAAAGUCAAUUAUAAGCAUAAAAAGCGAUGGCACCAGAAAAGGCAGAGCAAGCAAAAUGUAAGUCAGAUACCCCUUAAUGUCAGAAGCUUAAAGGCUUAGUUGACAUGAUCAGUUCAGAGAACAAUUCAGGACGAACAACAGGAAAUUUAGAAGAAUUAAUAGAAAAAGAAAAUCAUAAAUGUUUUACACUGCCUGCUAUGAUUCAAAGUUUCCAAUAGCACAUGUCUAUUCUGAACUUCUGUUACCAUCAAUUUUCCUUUUAUCUGCGAAAAUUUAGUAGUUUAUGCAAACAUUGGUCAUCAGAAUAAUGGUUUACCAGAUAAUUGGUUUAUGCAAAAACUAAUAGAGCUGUAUUAUCAAUAACAGACGUAUCUAACCAUUUCCUUAUUUCCAAACUUUUAUAAUUUGAGCUUAACAUGGCUAACACCACAUAACCAUAUUCAAACAAAAACAUGAAAUCAUAUAUGACACUAAAGAGCCUUUGUGAAAACCAUUCAAACUAACACCUCUCUUUUAAUUUAAUUUUAUUCUCUAUGUUUUUUUCAAUGAACAAGGCAAAAAAUUUAGUUGAUUCUGGUAGAAAAGAGGCCACAGGUGUUGUCGUGGGGGUAGUUUGACUCAUUAACUGGUGCAAAGCCCACAAAAACAAUAUUAUGCUGUAAACCUAGGUGCAAGUACGUCAAUAUGUCCACUGCAAUUAGAUCCCUACAACCAGCUACUUAACAGUGUAGCAUACAUCAUUGACCUGGUUGGUUAGCUAGUCUAAUUGACAUACUUAGAGGUUAUGGGUUCAAAUCUCAUUGACAUUGGAAGGGUGGGUGGGUUAAGGGAUUUUAAUAAAAAUCUUUUGGGAAAAAAAUAAAAACAUACAUCCUUCAGUGUGCAACAAUAGCCUGAGUAGUGCAUAUAGAUAAAAGGAACGAAAGAGACCACCCCCUGCCAAUGUACCCCGUAAGCCAAAGUAAAAUGAUCAAAUCCCUCCACUUCUACCCCCUAAAUUUCAGAAUUACCUAUUUAUUUGGGCCAUCCACACACUACCACAAGCAAACCUGCCAGAUAGUAAGAGGCUUUUGCUGAUUUUUCCCUCAAAAAUAAAAUACUUCUCAUCAAUCAUAUACAAAAUUCAUCCUACAUCACAACAGAUUUCAAUAAUAGCAUUAAAAAGGAAAUAAAGGAACAAAUGAGUAUAUAGUUUCAGCUUCCUUUUAGCACAUGGUGCACCAGUUGACUCAGAUCAAACCUCCUCUUUUAAACAAUGAACCAGUAUAAGCUCUACCAUGAACAAUACUGAAACUCCAGCCCAAGAUAUAUACCUUACAAGGAACUUAAGCAUCCGAAAUCAUGUGAGGAACAGAUGACUAUGAUGAAAAUUGAUUUAACUGACACAUAAUUAGUACCAAUCUAAAACUACUGCGUAAGAAGUAGCUUAUACACUAUAAUCAAUCUGAUGGUCAUGAAUUAUAAAGCAAAAAUGUCCAGGUAUUCCUUAGAAAGCACUUUUAACUAUCAGGGACCAGUCAACAUAAACGAUAUAGAAAAUCAAUCCACUGAUCGCUUAUUACUAGAAACCCCAUGGCCAAUUAGCUCCCCACCAAAAGCUGACAACUAGGUCUUAAUUCCUAUCAUUCCUAACUUCAGCAAAGGUAACAAACAUCCAAAAUAGAUGUACUCGAUUAGAAAUGACAUAUUCAGCAGAUUUGCCCAACCUUCGAUUGAUUUCCCCAGCAACUAAAUUAUCACCUAAAAUCUUUAUCCUGGAAUUUCAAAAUUUAGCUACUCCUAAAUUACAGCACCGAGCAAACAAUCUUCAUACAGAACACUAAGUUCACACAAUCUUUACAGCACCGAGUAAAUCUACUUUGUGUUUAAUUGAAAGAUUCACAAAGUUCAAGCAAAACUUUUAGUGUCCGAUGUAAAUGAUUGAGCCAUAAUAAUUCGGUGCGGAAUGCAAUUAUAUUCAUAUGCGUGCCCCUAAUGAAUGAUUAUUUCUUUUCCCUUUUUUCGUUUUCAAUUGCUAAAGUUAUCAGUAACGAAUGCUAUGCCAAUUAAGAGAUAUAAAUGCAUACAAGGAAAGCAGAUUAACCUUUUUUAGCACGUCCACAUCAUCUGUCCUAGCUUUUUUCUCAUAUCCUGGUGGUGGAAAUGGAAAGCAGCGCGACAUUGCAGACUCACACAAUACAAGAAACCAGUGCCUUCCCGAGAAGAAAGUUCCAGAAUUAUGUUCGAGUAGCACUGUUCCAGGAAGGGAACGAACCAGCAACUAUGCUCCUGUCCAUGCACCAUGCCCCCACAUUCAUACCCAGUAUCAAAACUCCUCUUUCAAUCCAAUACACACUGAAACCAAAACCAAGCCUUGAUCCUUUUUCAAGUUGGGCAAAGCAGACACUACCGAAAUUAACUAAGGCUCAUCAAAACAAUCAACUCAACCAAAACUGCGAAGCUACACUGAACUAAAACGCAGCAAAACCUUGAUAAAUUAACAGCUCCAACAGCUCUUUUAGGCCAAGAAUCUUGCUCCAACUAAGUUAACCCGAACAAACACACUGAGUAACCAAAUUGGUCCACUCCAAUCUAAUCCUCUGUGUUGCCUGGUGUGCCACUGCAAUCACAAUCAGCUCCUCCUUGCAAGCAAAACCCAACACCAAAUUCAUCCCCAGCCGAAGAUCAGGCUCGUCUUAAGUAGCAAAAACCCGGAAAUCCUUGUCCUCUGAAACACCGAUUCGGCAAGUCUCUGAUCACUCAUGUAAUAUGCAAUCUUGUUCCAUGCUCAGAAAACCCAAUGCUUCCCAUAACUCCUAGGCAAUAAUCUCAGAGUUGGUAUGCCAAAUCCAGAGCUCCAUUUCCGGUAAAGAUCGAGCUCAUGCGGGCUAGGGCUCCCGAAUCUGUGGGUCUGAUCAAACCCUAAUUUAGUCCAACAGGAGCAGAAUUGAAUUGAAGGAGAGUCCCCCAAGUUAUGAUCCAACGAAAACCCUAACAAUCCAGCAAACACAAAAGAUGCUGAGCAUAGUUCUCAAAACCCUAAUCCCACACUCCUCAAAAACACAAAAAAUCAAAGAAAAAUCGAAAUUCGAAGAAAAAAGGAAAACUUUUUAAUGGGAUUUUAAUCUUUUAUGGGAGUCAAUUGGGUGAUUGAUCAAAAGGUGUAAAAUUGAGUUGUGGGCAUUGGAGAAUUUGACCAGAGGGAGAUUACCUUGUCCACUACAAAGAGGGCAAUGUAGGAUGACAAAGGAGAUCUCUCUCUCUUUCUCCUUCUCUUUGUCUUUCUCUGUAAUAAAAAGAGAGAGAGAAGGGGGAUAGCACAGAAAUGAAUAUGGGGGGAUUAGAUAGAUAGAUAGAUAAAGCUGAUUCUGGAUUCUUCUUCUUGGUUUUCUAUGUGUGGGUUUCUUGCUCUGAGCCUCCUCUUCCUCCUUCUACUGCAAUUUCUAUGAUUGCUCUCUUGAGUCUGUCUGAGGCUCUCUAUGUGUCUGAAGGGGUAUUUUGUUCGUGUGUUGUGUUCCAGUAGAGAGGCUUUUGUGCUCUUUUGGUGUUCGGAACUUACACGCGAUAGAAUUGAGAGAUUGGAAAGAAACGAAGAAAGAAAGAUAGCAAGGAAGGUUCAAAGCCCAUGUUAGAUUUGUGAGAGGGGGGCACUAGAGUAGAUAGACAAAGAAAGAUAGAAAUUUUGCAUUCUAUAUUUCUACCUCCCAUCAAAAUUAUUGACCAAAAAAAACCUCCCAUCAAAAUCAAUACCCACGCUCUCGAUGUGGUGUUUGUACUCUAAUUUCUGUUGUUAGAUGUAUCCGGUAAAAUAUUAAGUAAACUCAGCAAAAUAAAUUUUAUUAAAAAGACAAUUUUAUCCUCAUCUGAAAUGACAUUUGAAAUCAUUAUUAUUAAGAUAAUAACAAAAGAAACCUAAAGUUUUAAAAUUCUUUUAGUUAAUAAUUUAUGGGCGAGCUUCCAAUGAGGACCUUAUAAUGAGGACCAAGUGAGGACUUUCAAAUGAACGGUUGGAUCAAGGUUUUGAUUUUUAAUUGAUAAACACAUUCUUGCCAAUGAAUAGCACCCCACUUUCUAUGGUUGAUCGGUGUGAAAUUUCUCUUGGUUUUGUCAAUACAAAUCACUUUGUCCAAGUCUAUACAUAUUUGCUAUUAAGCAUUUACUAUAUACUUUUGUUUGAUAAAUGUUAUUAACUGGGCAUCUUCUUCUCUUAUGUUAUAGGUUCAUCUGAAGCCAUUUCAUCUUAUGCCACCUAUUGUCGAUGGUUGGUUCAAGCAUUUUUCUCUACUUCUCGCAAACGGAUGGCUACCUCCUUAUAGUGAUCGCCUUCAUGCUUUGGUACCACGAUAAGUAUUCUGAAGUGCAGUCAUAUGAAAACUUAACUGGAGUACUUCGGUUGGCAUCAACCAACACAUGAUCUCGCCAUCGUUGCCACAACCCAUCAAAGUACUAGUACACAACCUUGUAUGAUUUGGAAUCAGAAACUCAUCGAACACGAGAAGGGGUAUAUGGAUUGCGAGGAAUCAUUUGAACAAGUUAUAUUACUAGCUAUCUUGAUAAGUAAGUGACAUAAGGUUAUUGUGUUAUUGACUACUUGGUAUUAUCUCUACCGGAAACGAUUUUCAUGAUAUACAUUUGACGAACAAACUUUAAUUUCGUUUGGUUGGAUUAAGUUAUUGAUUUGGAUAUGAGAUCUAAUUGUAUCUCAAUUAUGUGGGUGUUAACCAACGUAACGGAAGUAACAACUUAGAACUUUUUAUUUUAUUUACAUAAUCCUUUUAGGCAAGUAAACACAUCAUAAAAUGCUUGUCCAUUGAUCUAGAGAAUAUUUGACACUAAUAAAAUGUAGCAAUAUACAUGUAUAUAUUGUACUUUGAAGAAUUGAGUAUGAAGCCACGUAAAAUAGAUUAAUCAAGUAGUUGGUAAGCUGUGGCAUGUUGAUAAGUUAUUAUAAUGUUGUAAAGGUUAUGGAUUCUAUUCUCACUGUCAUCUCUACUACAAUAAAGCCGAGCGUUUAGAAAUUCAACAAAAUGUGUUAUGUCAAUAUUACCUUUAUAAAGUUAACUGAGAUCUUAGAAUUCAUGGUAACUAUAGUAAAAAGUAAAACAAACAAAAAAUAAAAACAAAUAGCAAAGAAAUAAUUAUGAAAGAUAAACGUAGAGAGAUAGCGAGAGUAUAAGAUUGAAAAACUGCAAUUCCACUUAAGAAAAUAGAUAACCGUAAGUCACUACUCCUUAAUUUUAGAUGAUUUUGUGACACCGUGCAUCUAAUAGAUGCACGGGUAAAGGCUAGCAUAUAAGAAUUGGGUGGACAAAGUAACUUCAUCAAAACUCUCUUCGCUACAAUGAGAUUUCACAAGCACCUUGAAACUUUAAGAUUUUUAGUGACAUACUGAGCUCAUUCCUUGUAUCUUUGGUGGUUAUUAGAUGGAGCUAGCAUAUAGGGGACUUGCCUCUCUAUCCUCUCGGUGUUCUUGCUUAUUGGGGGCAAUGUUGCUUGACUACUUGAGGCUUUCUCAAAAAUCGUCUAGAACUAUUUUGUGUUUUUGACCCAAAUCAACCAUUUUCAUGCAAGGAAAUUAUGACUUUAGGCUUAAGUUAUUGACAUCAGUCUUUGCUCGACUAGGAAAGGAAAGAGAAUAAGUCUCAUAGACCCUAAAACUCAUAAUUGUUCAAGAAAUACAAUACAAUUGGAUUGAGAUCUAAGUUUAAUAGUUUUGUUUUUGUCUGAAUGAUUUCUUUAUACAUGAAAUUUUAUGUACUCUUUCAUUUACAAGACCAUCUCUUUUUACCAUUUGGAAAAAUGAGUUACGAUGUGUACUAUUGUUCGAGUGUUCGACAAAAUGCUUACUACACUAAAUAUUUUUGAUAAAGUGAUUGACUGAAAGAAAGAAUGAAAAACUUAAAAAUAUCGGCAUUUCGAGCAGACUGCAGACCUUGUGCGUGUUGGCAGAGCACGCGCUAUGAAAAGGGGUGGGGCUGUGAAAUUAGCCCGACUUGUAUCACACAAGCACAUGCGAGUUGGUUCUCCUCCUCACCACGGGAGCAAAUUUGCUCCCCACCCUAACUUCCCCACUUUACUCCCCACCCACUUAAAUGAAUAACACGUGUAUCUCACUCAAAAAUGGUCUCACUCUCCCGGCCAACUCCAUUUUUUCUUCUUCUUCUUCACAACUCUCUGUAACUCCCAGCCCUACCUCCAACUCCCCCUCCUCCACAUUCAACCCUCCCCAACCCCCACCCAAGCCCUCUCUUCCGACUCCCUCCGCCUCUCUGUCCUCCACUCCCACCGCCGCCUCCCCCGUCGUCUCCGGCGCCUCCACAGGCUCCGGCCAGUACUUCGUCCACCUUCUCCUCGGCUCCCCUCCGCAGCCCCUCCUCCUGGUCGUCGACACAGGCAGCGACCUCGUCUGGCUUCGCUGCUCUGCCAGCAAAUCCUGCUCCCGCCGCCUCCCCGGCUCCGCCUUUCUCGCCCGCCACUCCUCCACAUUCUCCUCCUUCCGAGUGCUUCCGCCUCCGUUGCCAAAAGUGCGGUGGUUCAUGCUGGCGACAUUGGUGGUGGGUUUUUUUUUUUGGCUGAGGUUGGUGAUGGGUUUGUGGAGGUUGGAAGAGGGGUGUGGAAGAGGAUGAGGUUGGGUUUAGGAGUGGAGGACAGAGAGGCGGAGGGAGUCGGAAGAGAGGGCUUGGGUGGGGGUUGGGGAGGGUUGAAUGUGGAGGAGGGGGAGUUGGAGGUAGGGCUGGGAGUUGCAGAGAGUUGUGAAGAAGAAGAAGAAAAAAGGGAGUUGGCCGGGAGAGUGAGACCAUUUUUGAGUGAGAUACACGUGUUAUUCAUUUAAGUGGGUGGGGAGCAAAGUGGGGAAGUUAGGGUGGGGAGCAAAUUUGCUCCCCCUCACCACUCUCUCUGGCUGCUGCUGCGUUACCAAGUGGCACCACCCCAACCUAUCACACUCUCUAUUUGUCCAUACACGUGUCUCUUCAUCACUCCCUCGAAUGCUCUCCCUCGUAUUUCCCCCUUUCUAACUCAGUCCUCUUGUACUAGUCCUCAGCUUUGGAUUUCUUCUCUUCCUCUUUCCUCGGCUACCGCCUUCCAGCUUGAUCUUUACGGGGACGGGUGUGCUCGAGGAUUUUCUUUGUAAUUUAUUUCUUAUCCAUAAAAAAAAAAUUAAAAAAAAACUUAGUCCUCAACGUUUUGUUUGCCAACUGAUCUUCUCUCUUGCUUAUGGAAUUGGGAAUGUCCUUUGUUUGGGAACUGGGUUUUGGUUUUUUAAGGGAUUACAACCUAAGGUGGGGGAUUCUGGGUUUUCCAUUAGAGCAAGUCCAACAAAUUCCCUAAAUUCUUUGAUUUUCUCUAUUUUAGGGAAUAUGAGGUCAUUUUUCACUCCAACAGCUUUCCUAUCUCAUUCUCUAAAAUAGGGAAAGAGAUGAAAGAGAAGCUUUGCUUCCCUAUAUUUACAAAUUCCCUAAAAAUAUUUAGGGAAAGAAGAAUUGAAUGUUGCAUAUUGUUAAAGGCUCAAAGAUAAGAAAUAAAACAUAAUUUAUUCUAAAAAAUAAACUUUUAUAUUUUUAUACUUAUUAUUAUAUUGUAAUAAAUGAAGAUUGUUGUUGUAAUAAAUAUUUGAAUCUUUAAAAUAGGGAAACUGUUGGAUUUGAUAUACAAAAUUUUUUAGAGAUUUUGAGUUUUGCUUCCCUAUUAUGUAGAAAAUAUAAAGAAGCUGUUGAGGGAAGCAAAACUCAAAAUCUCUAAAAAUUUUCUACAUANNNNNNNNNNNNNNNNNNNNCAACAGCUUCUUUAUAUUUUCUACAUAAUAGGGAAGCAAAACUCAAAAUCUCUAAAAAUUUUGUAUAUCAAAUCCAACAGUUUCCCUAUUUUAAAGAUUCAAAUAUUUAUUACAACAACAAUCUUCAUUUAUUACAAUAUAAUAAUAAGUAUAAAAAUAUAAAAGUUUAUUUUUUAGAAUAAAUUAUGUUUUAUUUCUUAUCUUUGAGCCUUUAACAAUGUGCAACAUUCAAUUCUUCUUUCCCUAAAUAUUUUUAGGGAAUUUGUAAAUAUAGGGAAGCAAAGCUUCUCUUUCAUCUCUUUCCCUAUUUUAGAGAAUGAGAUAGGGAAGCUGUUGGAGUGAAAAAUGACCUCAUAUUCCCUAAAAUAGAGAAAAUCAAAGAAUUUAGGGAAUUUGUUGGACUUGCUCUUAGUAGCUAGAAGAAGAAACUGCAAAUCUGGAAUGCAUGGUUAUCAUGGUCUUAUUUGGCUUCAUGUGUAUGAGGAAAAAAUGAUGGCAAUACCAAGACGGACGCCUUGGGGCGUCUCACAUUGAGGAAGGCCUCACAUGGAGCUACACAUCUAUAAUAUAUAUGUCAGCUAUGAUAUAUGUAAAUAGAAAGCCGCGAUUUAGACAAAGUUCUUUUUUGGUCUCAUAAAGACAAAUGACCUUGAUAUAUUAACUGACAUUACAUGGAGACUAGGAUAAGGUCUUGUGGUUUCAAGUCGACAUUUAUUUAGUCCUUGUGUUUUAUAUUAAUCUGAAUAGUCCUUAAAGUCAUGAUUUUUCAUCCAAAUGGUCAUCCCGUCAGUUUUCUCAGUUAAAUUGCUGACGUGGCCGUUAAAAAUUACAAUGUCUUUAAUAACCACGUCAACAAUUUAACUAAGAAAAUUAACGGAAUGACCAUUUGGAUGAAAAAUUUUGACUUUAAGGACCAUUUAGAUUAAACUAAAACCACAAGGACUAAACAGAUGUCUACUUGAAACCACAAGGACUAAACAAAUUUCAAUUCAUUAGUUUAUCUUUAUCUGACCCAAGUUAGCAGGUUGUAUUAUUAUAUAUUAUUUUUUUCUUAAAAUUCUGUGAGUGUUCUAGAAUAUUCACCUUUUUUUUUUUGGUCGAAAUUCACUUUGUGUGUGUCUUGAUUUAAUGCUGACAUGAAUAUGAAUCGAUUCCAUGAAGUGAUAUGCUUCCAAGUUAGUAUCUUGGAUUCAACAUCAUAAGUUGGCUACCAACCUAAUUAUCUGAAAUUUGACAUCAUGGAUUUGCGAGGAAUGUCAUAGAUGGAUUGUCUACGUGGAAUUUUCAUUGUAAAGUGUUACCCCACAACUUCUGGUUGCUCGGUUAAGGCUUGGGCUUGGGCCUUUUUCUUGGGCUCUCCGGCUCUAAGUUGGGUUGGUUUUGUUAGUUUUCUUUUUCGUUUUAUUUAUUUUAAUAAUUUAGUAUUGUCGCGCAUUUAAUGUGUAAUAAGUCCUUGCAAGUAUUUUGUAGGACUAGAUGGGCUUCGUGCCGGUAUUUGCACUAAAUGUGUCUUGUUUGCUCUAGGUAGGUGACGAGUUCAUUGCUUCAUCAAAUGGUUUUUGCCGCCUAGUGUAACGGUGAAGCUAAGUGUCGUCAAACUUAUAUUCCAACAACAACAUAGUAGGAAAACAGUGUUUUUGAUAAUUAUGUUUCCCAGUAAUCGAGUCAUUUUUCCAUUAUGUCACCGUUAUAUUAAAGCAAAUAGAAUAGUCAUUGAAUCACUUUUUUUUUUCUAGUUGGUGCCUAGUUGAAUACUUGUUUGUAAGGAUUUCUAAAAUUAUUUCAGGUCUUUGUAAUAAAUGGUUUAAACUACAUGUCUCUUCUUAUAUUCAACAGUUUCAUUUAUCAAGGCUUAAAAGCAGCUACAGGGGUUUAGGCUACAUGUCUUCUAUUGUAUUCGACAGUUUCAUUUAUUAAAAUUUGAGCGCAGCGUCACUAAUUUUUUAUUUAAAAGAAAAAGACAUAUCUCAAAAGAAAAAAGAAAAAGAUACUGUUCCCGGCAUGUUCCCCCAGCCUAUAAAACCACAAGAUAUUGCACGAACUCUUAGGUUUUGGCUUAAACCCUAGCCGCUCGGUCUCUCUCUCUCUCNNNNNNNNNNNNNNNNNNNNNNNNNNNNNNNNNNNNNNNNNNNNNNNNNNNNNNNNNNNNNNNNNNNNNNNNNNNNNNNNNNNNNNNNNNNNNNNNNNNNNNNNNNNNNNNNNNNNNNNNNNNNNNNNNNNNNNNNNNNNNNNNNNNNNNNNNNNNNNNNNNNNNNNNNNNNNNNNNNNNNNNNNNNNNNNNNNNNNNNNNNNNNNNNNNNNNNNNNNNNNNNNNNNNNNNNNNNNNNNNNNNNNNNNNNNNNNNNNNNNNNNNNNNNNNNNNNNNNNNNNNNNNNNNNNNNNNNNNNNNNNNNNNNNNNNNNNNNNNNNNNNNNNNNNNNNNNNNNNNNNNNNNNNNNNNNNNNNNNNNNNNNNNNCGCGCGUCGUCUCUCUCUCUCUCUCUCUCUCUCUCUCUCUGAGGUAAAACCCUUUCUUAAACCCUCGUUCUCUCGCGUAUAUCUCUAGUUUCUUAUGUCGUCCGAGAAUCAUAUCCGUGGUUAUUUCAUCUGAAUAUUGGUGUUUUACUUUUGCUUGUUUGAUUGAUCGUUUUUUCUGGGAAUAUGAAUGUCGGUGUUUUCUGGUUGUUCUUUGAAUGAUGAUGAUCUGUGACUCUAUGUGGUUGGUGGGUGUUGAUAUAUUAUCUGUAUGCUUCUAAGCCGCUACAGGAAAGUAGAAAGAAACUGGGAGAUUGUUUUUCAAAUGAAAGAAAAAUAACCCAAAAACUGAUAAGGAGCUAUUGUUUAGACUGGUGCUCUGUUCGGUUUUUAAAAUAAAGCAAGUAGAGACUGUAGAGAUGUGAAUGGGAGCACCUUUCUAGCCUUUCAAAGUAAUUUAAGGCUUGUUGAAAUUGCAUACCAUAUAAUAAUUUGUGGUAGGAAGUUGUAAGAAAAUAAGUUUCGUGGCAAGAACCCUUAUUGAUCUGAUUUGUGUUUGUGAAAAUUGUGUUCGGUGGAGCUCAAUAAUUUCUCUUGUUUUCUUUCUCUUCUGGUUAAGCUUUUCACCUAAUGUAAAUUUUGCCAGCACUGAGUCGUAGGCUUUCUUCAAAUGCAUAGAUUGUCUCUAUUGUAGAGAAAAACGAAAAGGAGACUAUUAUAUAAUUUGGUCAUGUAUUUUGGUGUGUAAGAUUGCUUGUUAUUAAAGUGCCCUUACUUCUGGAUGCAUUAUAUAUAAGAUUCCUUGCUACUGAGGUAGUGUUUUUGAGUGGUCAUUAUGAGAACUCUUUGUGCAAGAUAACUUCUGUCUAAAUUCAUGUGGCUGUAGGCUUGAGUUGUUUGAUGUGCUUAAGAGAUUGCUUUUGUAUUUACUGUUUGCUGCUUACAAUCGUAGCUUGAGUUGUCAUUAUGAGAACUCUUUGUGCAUGAUAACUUCUGUCUAAAUUCAUUUGGCUGUAGGCUUGAGUUGUUUGAUGUGCUUAAGAGAUUGCUUUUGUAUUUACUGUUUGCUGCUUACAAUCGUAGAUUAAUCUUGUUGCUGCUUUUGUUUUUGUAUUGAUGGUGUUGUGUUGGUGUAGGCUCUUAGCAGACCCAAGAACUAUCCACUUUCCAAAUGGCUUUCUAUAACAGGGUUGGGAGCCUUUUGAGGCAGGGCAUUUCCCAGAAUGGACAAGCGCCAAUGGCAUCCAUGUUGAACUCUGCUCGUUACAUGUCCUCCAAGCUUUUUAUUGGAGGUAUGAAUGGACUGUAAAAUAUUAGUUAAAGGCUAACUUAAUUAAAUCCACACCUUUUGAUUUGAUUAUUGAUGUUCUAUUGUUAUAUUGUGGUGUGUUAGGUCUUUCGUUUUCCACUGAUGACACAUCUCUCAAGGAGGCAUUUUCCGGCUUUGGUGAUGUGACUGAUGGUAAGUGUUCAUUGGGUUUGUUACCUGAGAUUCAUAGCUCACUGUAUGGUAUACGAGUACUUUCAGUUUCUUCAGUUGAUAAUUUUGGUUUUUUUUUUUUAGUUUUAUCUAGUGUACCUCCCUGCCAUAGUCUAUACUUUGUUUGGGUAGAAAUAGAGCUUCAACUUGCAUAAUGGAUACUGAAGUCGGGGUUUAGUCUAGCAAUUUAAGGUUGAUCUACUUGAUUUAUCUAGAAACUUUUCUUCAAGGGAUAUUUCUGCAAUUGGAGUUGUUUCUCUGGCCUUUUAUUCUAUGCUACUUGGGCUGCAUCUGUGAAAGAAAAUAAUAAUGGGAUCCUUGAAACGAUUAUACAUGUGGUAUCUCUAUGCCUCGAAGUGUGUGAUUACUUGUAGUGAUAGUUUCUGAUUUAUCAAAGUUCCUUGGCUUUCUUUUAAAACUGUCAUUUUCUCAGAAACUAGUAACGGGAGGAGAGUAAUAAUACUAUUGGCUUUUCUUGCUUUUCCAACUGAAUAAAUCAUUAUUUCGAAGCUUCUGUCCUAAAAUUCUGUUUGUUUGUCCCUCAUCUAUUCGUUUGGUCUUUAAAAAUUUCAUUUAUGUAGUGAGCCUAGUGGUAUGUCUUGCAGUUUUGGUGGUUGUCUCCACUAUAUAUAUAUGUAUCCUCAAUUGAAUAUUUUCUGUGCAGCAAAAGUUAUCAUGGAUAGGGAUACUGGAAGGUCUAGGGGAUUUGGAUUUGUCAACUUUGUUGACGAAGAAGCGGCCAAUUCAGCCCUCACUGCUAUGGAUGGCCAGGUCAGAAUUAUUUAUUUAUUUAUUUAUUUAUUUUAUUUAUUUAUUUUUUUUAAAAAAAUGAAAGAUUUUAUUCAUGAGAAAAGAACUACAUCAACUGGAGUAUUAAGCGGCCUCAUUAAACCUUCCACAGACGGAGAGGAAGAGUACCGCACUCCAAACUUUACAAAAACUAAUUGCUAGCUUCAGCUACUAAUAUUGACGAAAGCCACAUUGGCUCCAUCAACCACCAAAAAGUAGGAAAAGAUAGAGAUAGAGCCUCUUUAGCAACAUGAUGUGCUUCAUUAUUACAUGCUCUAGAAAUAGAACUCCAACUACACGACUGAAAAAAAAAUUCAAUAAAAACUUGGCCUCCAUCCAUGCUCAAGUCCUCUUCUGUUCCAUUCAUAGCAGCAAUGACAUUGCAAGCAUCCCCUUCAAUAACAUGCGAAAGCCCUGCUUGAACACAGAAAUAUAACCCAUUUACUAAUGCCAAAGCUUCACAAGUCUGAGGGCUAAUAGAAUUUGAAUUUGAAUUUUAGACACUUCAAGUGUGAAAUUUACCCUGUAUAAAGAUCCAAGUGUUUUUUUUUCCUUUUGUAAUGAUUUUUAACACUGAAUUUCAGGACUUAAAUGGGCGAAGCAUUCGUGUGAGUGUCGCUACCGAACGAACUGGUCCUCGACCAUCCAGCGGUGGUUACCGUGGGGGUGAAGGUGGUGGUUACGGAGGUGGUUACCGUGGUGGUGACAGUAGCUAUUAAACAGUUGCACAAGUGCUGUCUAUAGGCUUUUCUAUGUUUAUUUAUCUUUAAAUCUAAAGUUGUUUUAGUCAGUCGGAUUUUAUAAGCCAAGUUCUGCUGGUUUAUAUAUCUUGCUAUGUAACGCUGCAGAAAGAGUUUGAAGGUGAAGGAUUUCCAUUUGCAUGUUAUCCAGCCAUAUUGCUGAAUGGUGUUUGUGUAUGAAUUUAUGAGAUUCUACUAGGUUACUCCAGUUCUAACCAUAUAUUGCCUUGUGCACGUGGUAUGGGAAGAAAUUGAAUCUGCUUGCUCGCCUGUGCGAAACUGGGUUCUGGUGUGAAUUCAAGGAGUAUCAAUGAUUUUGGCUGCCAAAAAUGCUAAUCCCAGACAGCAGGUCCGUGAUACAAAUGUUUUUGUGUAUUAGAAGCCCAACCUCCAAUACUAAAAAAAUGUUCUUUUUUAUCGAAAAAAAUCUAGUACUACAUCAUCGAGCCUUUCGGAAUCCAAUUCUUCAGUGUUGGAUGUCAGCUGUGGUACUUGGUUUCUUCUUCCAUUUCGCUUCUCAGAAGAGCAUUACUAUGAGGUUCUUCACUUCAUGAAAAACAUCACCCUCUGUAUUUGCAGAUCAGUUUCAGUGCAUCUUCUUGUGUUUUUUCCCCUUAUUUGUUAUAUUGUAUUUUGUUUAUGGAGUUCUAAGGCUGAUCAUCUCAGCCAAACCCACUUCAGAUAGACAGUAAUCUUCAUUGGUAUGAAAUUAAAGAGGUGAAAGAGCAAUGCCAUUAGGAUUUAGUUAACAGACAAUAGACAUGAUUAAAGAGAGAAAAAAAAGAAAAAAGAACCAAGUUGCAAGGUUAUUUUGUCUUGUUUUGUGUCGGUGGGAGAAUUAUAUAUAAUCUGGAAAAUUAGUCCAAUAAUUUUGAUAAGACAGCUCAAGUAAUGCUAGUGUUUGAAGUUCUGGGUUCAGUCGGGUCUAAUUGCUAAGGAGAUGGCUUAUGUGGAGGAAAGAUGGAGAUUGAUGUUGCUGGGUCAUUAUCUCACAAAAUCAUGCGGUUAUUUUUGGGCAAACAAACAAACCAAACCAGCCAGCUCUCUCUCGUUUUUAGUUUUUCUUUUCUUCAACCUCUUUCUUAGUCUCUAAUACAGACUUUGGUUACUAGGCUACUACUCUCUUUGCUCUAUGCAUGAGUGAAUGAACUGAUCAUAUUGAUGAUCUUGUCAUUGGAAGUACAAAAAUUAGUACACGAAAUUGCCACCAGGCAUUACACUGUGACUCCCUCUUACAAAAAACUCUUCUCUUACUCACGCACAUCACAAUUCAUAAGAAGUAAAUUUACCGAUCAUUCUUAUUUGCUUACCAUUAAAUUUUAUUGACAUGUGUCCUCUUUCUUGACCAUGGUUUCCAAUAAAAUAAAAUGGUUGGCACUUUGGUGGGUGGACAACAAAUUUACAUUCUCUCUCAUGUCAGUCAAAUUUGUAUUUAUGACAUCUAUAUGGUGUUAGUUAUGUUAGUCAAUUAACAUGUUAUGGUUCACUAACAGAAAUAGAGAAUACGUGUAUGAUUCAAAGAAGCCAAAUGGAUCGACCCGGCCUAAUCAUAUAUGUUUUAAAUGAGGCCUAUUCAUGCUUAAUGUUGUGUUACUCCUCCUACUUACUUACACGUCAGAACCGACAUGAACUAUGGUCCAAACGAGCCAAUCAAUGAACUAUGGCCCAAACGAGCCAAUCGAUGAACUAUGCUAGAGCGGGUGUUGAAAAUAGCCACGGUUUAAAACUUUUAUCAUGAUACUAUUUUUAAAUAUAAUUUUUUAGUAUAAUGUAUUUUAUUUGUAAGCCCAUUUAGUUAUUUACUAAUUACUUAUCCAAAACUCGAAAAAAAAUUAUGUGAUAACCUUUACGGCCGUCAAGUACUAUUUAAUCUAGCGGCAUAGCCUCAGUAAAUGAGAGGUUGUGAGUUAGACUCAUGAAAGACUAGUUAUGGCAUUUGAGUUGUUUACCCGAUAAAAAAAAAUACGAAACCCUUUUGCUGCGGGACUAACCCAACGAUGAUAAAAGGCAAUAUUACAGCGUCCAAGACUUGAACACCGGUUACACCGCUGAUCACCAAAUAAGUGAUUCCCAUACUCCAAUCCUCCAAACCUUCAAAAUCUUCAACCCACCAAGCACCAACAUAGGGUGGCAAACCAAAAUCUGGACGACCCUGAGUCCCAGAAGGAUCAACGUAAUUGAAUUUCUGAUCUGGCUAGUCUAAUUCUAACUCAAUUGUCUUUUCUAAGAACCUAGAAAAGAAAAUUUAGGUGAGCUAAAACUUCCCAAGUGAAGCUUAUACUGACUGGUUGGUCUAAUAUUGUAUAGAACAUUAGAACCAUUUGGCCUAUAAUCAAUGGUCAUCAACACCGCUUUCAAUAAUGUUAUCAUAUCAGAAUGUGGAUCUCAUUAUGAUUAAUUCAUAGUAAACAUUUGCAUGUUACAUAGCACUCUUUCAUGCCUUCUGCCUAAUCACUUGUAUGCAUCACGUAGACUUGCUUGAAACCAACGUUAUUCCAUAUAAUACUAUGAUGAAUUUGCAAACCCAAACUUUAUAAUAAUUAACAUCGUUGAACUUAAGCUAUCCUAGUUGUGUGUGUGUGUGUAGAUCCAAUUUGGAAUUCUCAAUUUGUAUGCCUAAAUACAUAUUCAAAGAAAAUGAUUGUCUUUGUAUUCAAAGAACCUGAAUUGCCAAUUCGGUAGAAAAGCAUGUAAGCAAACCAUUCCUUUUAAAUAGAAGUGCUGGUGUGGAUGGUACAUUGGUACAAAUACAACAAAUUAAGGUGCCUAAUUCAAGCUUUCUGGAAGAUUAAUUGCUUCUAAUUAUCAAGUUAAGCAAUUGUCAAAAACUUUAUCAUUCCCUCUGUAUUUUUAUCUUCUAAAAAAUUUGUCAAGCAAGACUGUAAGAGCACAGCAUCUGGAGAUCUAAUGUGUGCUUACUAGGAAGUAGGAAGUCAACAUUUCUUUAACAAUUUAAAACUAGAUUUGGAAUUCCUUCUACCAUCCAUUGACAUUCUGGAAACUAAUAGAUUGAAGAAUCCCUAAAUUUAAAUCUUAAACUGAAUCUCACAGAGUCUUCUCUUUGCCUCUUGUUUUAUAUUCUGCUCUACACAUAUCAUUUCAAUGGUUUUGGACCAGAACUGGUAAAACAAAUCAAGAAAAGACCAGAAGUGUUCAGAAGGCACCAUUAGUGGUUGUUGUGUUGACAAUAAGCUUAACAGAGCCAAGAUCCACACCAUUUCUAAACCUCAAAAACCCUGUUAAAUUCAUUUUCUAUUUUAUGUUACCGACCACUUGUUCAACCUUAGUUUUUAAUUUAGGGUUAAUAAAAUUAGAGUCAGUUUGUAAUGAUAAUAUUUCUUGAACCCGACUUCGGUGACAAGAGCUGGUCACCUACAGCUAAUGAACAUGGGAAAUGUGUCCAUUAUAAAAGGCUUGGUUGUGAUUUAAGGACAUAACAAGGGAAUUUUGAGUAUUUGUCAUAUUUGUUUAUGAUUAUUGUUGACACUUGUACAUCUCUCAUUGGUGUUUGAUACUCAUAAGUGACCAUAGUUGGUCAUCCAAGUUAUUUUCAUAUUUCUUUUACCACAAAUUAAUGGGAUUAAAUCGAUACCAGGAACUGACCGGGAGACAUCAUUUCACAUAACCUAUGGUCAAGGAUUAAAAUAUCGGUAUCGGUGUAUCUAUCGGCAUUUUGAAGAAACAAAAAUAUCGGAUAUAUCAGAGAUAUAUCGGGAAUAUCUAAGAAAAAAUAUCAAAAAUUCAGUAGAUAUAUCAGAUAUAUCGCAGAGAUUUUAAUUUUUGCAUAUGGUUUCUAAACAUAUCCCAUGAAUUCUUCCACGACUUGUGGAUUCUGGCCUCUAACACCAUACCACAUUAUAUCAUGCAUGGGUGGGAGCUAGUAUAUGCGAAGAAAACAUUCAUAGGAGCCUCGUUUACGGGGUGUUUAUGGUAUAAUCUUUAUGAUACACUUCUGUAUGUAUAUGAAUUUAUUUGAAUCAAAAUUACUAUAUUAACAAUAAAUUUACCAUUCAGUUUACAGAUUUUUAUUCUAAUGGUGCGUCUAUUGUCACUCUACAAAGUACUUUGCUCACCCCACACAUUAUUGAUUUGUUGAAGACAAAAAUACUCUGAUGUAAAAUUACAGUAGGAGAUAAUAAGUUGUAACAAAUUACAAGUUCUUUUUUCUUUUUUAUCUUUUUCUUUUGGCUGAACACGUAGUUCAUAAACCAUAACCCAUAAUUUAUCAUAUUUGAUCAUUCUAUAGAGUCUGAUGACGCUAGCAUGCAACCUAAAGAUGAGGUGAUGAACUGUUUGUAUUUUUUUUUCUCUUGUUUUCUUUGUUCAUGUUUCGUCUAUCACUUUACUCAAUUAAUUUUCUUCAGUUGGUGACUUUACUUACCUCAAACUUAUACUUCCAAAACAAUUAAUAUUAAUGUUAUGGUUUUCUUCAAUUUCUUUUUCUUUUUGGAGUUCAAUGUCUAUUGAAAUAGUCUGAUACUGUGUGUAAUGCAAACGAGUGAGAAUAGAAUGUAGGGUGAACAAAGUAGAAUUGGAAAAGUUGUAUUUUAGGUAUUGUAAGCAGGUGAACAAAGAAAACUAUAAUUAAAAAUAUAUAAGUAAGGUGUGAAAAGAAUGUGAGGUGAGUAAAAUGGUUUGUGAGGUGGCAAUAGACGCAUCUAUUUUUUAAUAGUGAUUUACCCAACCUAACUGGAAUGCUCUGCUCCAUACCCGGAUCCAUUUAUUUUAUUAUUAAUAAUGUAAUGCAACAAGAGGAUCGCGGGGCGGGGGGGGGACGUAAUUCCUAAACCCGGUGCUAGAGUACAACCACAAUAAUCCUCGUAGACAACAUUCUGAAUGAUAGUAGGAGUCUCAUCUAACCAAACAUCAUCAAUCAUCGAGUGACUAGCAAGGUGAGCAAGCCUAUGUGCUACACAAUCACUUCAUGGAAAAUAUUUCGGAUUUAGAGCAAGUCCACCCCCUGGGCCUUAGUUGGGAAGGCCUGGGUCAUGGGCGAGACCUGGGUCUUCACGUGGCAGUGAUUUUGGGUUACAGUUGCCACCCACGAUUUCUGUUUCAAAGUCGCCACGUGGCAGUAACUAUUUAUUGAAUUUUAUAUUUGGUAUUUUAUAUGUUCAGUUUAUUUUUGAGUUUUUCCUGAAAUGUCGAGUGACUCGAAUCUUCGAUUUAAGGCUCCUAUGUGAUAGUACGCGUUGACAUGAGGUCACCGAGGUAUUCGAAUUAUUUUUCGGUACAUCAAACUAUUUUCUAUGUUUUAUCGAAGGUUAGAUAAAACAAAAUUAUUUUUCAGAAAUUAGAAAUUCAUGAUUAAUCUCAACCGUUUGAUCUCUUCCUUUUAAAUCUGUGCCGUUCCUUUUCUCUAUAAAAUCCCAACUCAGGUCAAACUGACCCAAAUCGGGUCAACUGUUUCUUCUUCGAAGACGACCGAGCUGUGUUGCUCUCCGAUCGCCCAUCGAUUUCGGCCACCCCACGGUGCCAGACUUGGCCAAAACCUUCCUCUUUCUUCCCUAUCCUAAACCCCUAUCAUCAAUUUCACAUGCAUUCACCGUGGUGAUCGAAUCGACUCCGGGAAGUUUUUGCUUUUCCGGCUAAGGUUUGGAUUUCCGGCGACCAAAUCGUGUGCUAAAGGUAUGGUUGUGAUCACCUUUUCCUUCUCUAUCUUCUCUUGCCUUUAAUUUCAAGAAUUGCUUCUAUUUUUAUAUACAUCAUUUUCUCUACGUUUUUUGGAGUCGCCGGUGAUCUUCCACCGAAGGCGCCGUCCAAGCUUUCCAGCAUGCGUCUGUGGCACGCGUCACGCUCUCUCUCUGAUUCGGUCGUGCCAGAGACGCGCGGGAGCAACGCGUUUAGGCGUGGGCGUCACAGUGCCACAAUGUGGCCGGCAUCAUGUGGUGGGGUGCAGGCGAGCUGAGGUGGCUCGGAAGGCCCAGGUCGUCAAAAUCCUUUGCCUGGGUCAUAGGUCUGACCCAGGUUAAAGAAAUUUCAUGGGUGGAAGCAGGUCUUUUCUGGCUGGGUCUUCGUUUGACAUGGCGAAGGCCUGGGUCUUGUUUUUGGGGUUGGGGUGGACUUGCUCUUAUAUACUCAUUCUCAAAAAGAAAAAGAAAAAGAAGAAGACAUAUACUCCUUACAAUAAUUUAAUACCGAACUUACCUUUGAGAAAUUGUUCUCCUCACACCUCAAAGCAGCAAUCAAAAUGGAUGAGUCGCUCUCAAUAAUAAUGUCCUCCCAACCUUGAUGAAUACCAAGUAGUAAACCCGCCCUACACGUCGCCUCAGCCUCCAUGUUAAUCACUGAAUGAGUAUGUAAGAAAGGUCUUGCAAUAGCGGCGACCCCCUUGACCGUAUCAUCUCAAUUUGACUACCACCUCUAAUUUUCUUACAAAUCUGAACUGACCAAUAGACUAUGUAGAGAUGACAAACCGAUAAUACAUAAAUUUCCAUCAAGUAGAGUACCCGUCGUGUAUUCAACCAUAAUAUGGGACAAACUCGCAACCAUCAUGUAACAGUGACGAGAAGUCCAAAAUUUGUUUUCCCAAAUCGGAAGAGGAGAUACGAGAAGUAUAGAUUGGGGAUGGAAUAGAGUUCGGGAAUGACGUCAAAGACGGGGAUGAUACCUUCAUUUCCAACCCCCACUCCAGCAAUAUAUAAUUUUUUAUUCUUUUUUAAAAUUACAUUUAGAAGCCUCUAAAGCAAAGAACAUUUACACUAAUCAUUCCUAAACUCGACACCUAUGUAGUUUACAAUGUGGUAAUUGCUUUGGACCAGUAACAUGAGCACAUAUCGAACCGUUGCAAAACUUGAACGGGUAUGUAAUGGAUACGAAAAGGUUGUUUGUCAUUGAUGCAUUAGUUAAAGUUUAAUCGCUCAUGCAAAAGAUCAAAGUAAAUAAUUAUCUCUCAUGUAUGUCAUCGUAAAAGGUGGCUAUAGUGUUCAGUUGUUCAUCAAACUAUAUAGAAACCUUAUCCAUUUUUUGGGUAAGAGAAUUUGAUGUGGCCACAUGGGUUUCAUUAUUCACUUCGUCAUGACAUGUUUACUAUAUCAAAGUGACAUUUUGCAUUCAACAAAUUGGUGCAAAAUAUAGCGAGCAAAUAAGAAAGCCGUUGAGGAAAUUCGGAAACUAGUUUUGUGCAAAUAAAUUUGGACACCAAAGAAGGAAGGAAGUCGGUGCAGACACCAAAAUCAUACAAUGUUGACAUCAUAUAAUAUCUCAACUCAUCGACCAUAUUUUUCAACACACAGUCAUCCCACCUUGGUCGACCAAUCUUUUGUUUUUAUAUAUAUGCCCCCACAUAUAUGUAUCUAAAUUCAUGCAAAGAAAUCAGGGUGUGUUCUUUCUUUCACACACCAAUGUGGAAAUGUGGUACCUUAUUAGAAUCAGAUCAUUGACACCCAUCAUCUGCAUUCAAUCCAAAAUCCAUGUGAUGCACCAUUUCACUUGGCCAACCAAGUACACACACUGACAAAUUCAAUUAUUGGCCAUAGUACUAUUUAUGAAUUACCAAACUAGUUGCAUUGCGCCAAUAUCCCGUUAGGUACGAUCAAACUAUCACAAAGAUAUUCGUUAUCGAUUUUUCAUUAACUACUAGAAGCGACUCGAUUUCUCGACCUCUCGACCCGAGUUUAUAGGGGCCGGAGACCCUCCAAGGUGCCCUACGAACCUUCCUUAUUAUCUGCCCUCCCGGCAAGUCUCGUCGACCUGAAAACGACGCUGUGUGGGGUUACGGGAGGAAAGAACCUUGCAUCAUAAGCCUCCUUGUAUUUUCUUUGUGGAAUUAAUGUCGAUAUUAUCCAAUGACUUUAAUUAAAAUUUAUUUUUUUACUUUUUAAUAAAAUCAGAAAAAAGCCUGACAGUAAUCGCUGGUUGUUUUUUUGCUUCCUCUUUCAGUGGGAAAAGCUGGAAGUGUUGAUUGUUUUUGUCUUCAUAAGAGUUUGUUACGACUUGCCCUAUAUUUCUUUCUUAUUUACGUAUAACCCACAAUUUUUCUUUUCUGAAAGAAAUAACCCACAUUUUUUUCAAGUAUGUGGAAUGAAGAAGAAGAAUUGGCCCCUGGCUAAAGGCUAGAAGUCGGUAGUUUAAGGAAAACCAUGUGUUACUUUUAAGAUGGUAACAAAUUACAUGCAUAAUAGAGGCGUGAUUUGACAAUAAUGAAUCCGUCCUUGUCUUUUUAUGAUGACGUGCAACUAUUUUUUUGCUGCUAAUGAUGUCCGAUUAUGAAUAAGACAUCACAUAAGUGUACGUAUCACAUGCCUUUGAUUUCAUUUCAUUACUUAUGUGCAUCAAUAUUUUUUUAACUCAAAUUGGUUAAGUGGAAGUAUAUUAGGUUAUAGUACGGGGGACGCUAUAGAGACUCUCCUGGUAAUAGAUAGAUGACCUAUGUUUCGGACCCCAACUUGUAAAAAACUUUCCAGCCCUUGAGAGAGAACAUACCUAAAAUUGCACUACGGAUAGCUCACAUGACCACCAUUUUUUGUAUCCAAAAGCAAUACUAUGGUUUAGGCUUUGAUUACAAAGACAUACGUUUACGAGACCUUCUUUUCACGAUUUUUUUUUAUCAAGUAAAUUACAACUAUGUGAAUCGAAUCACAACCUUUAAUUUAUUAAAUGGGAGACUAUGCUACUAGACCAAAUAAUAUUGAGCUUAUUUUAAGAUUGUGAAUGAUGUUAUUGAAAAUUGCAUAUAUCAUGACAUGUUAGUUAGCUAUUCUAACUGACAUUGUAGUGGUCUAGGGUUCAAAUCUCACUGGCAUUAUAAAAGUGUGGUUGGUUAAGGAAUUUUAAUAAUUUAUGUAAGAAAAAACUACAUAAAAAUUUAUCAUUUCCAGCAACAAUAACACAAACUUUAACUCAUGUAUAAACUGGUAAAUAUGCAGAAGUGGAGCCAGAGACUAUAAAUGAGAGGGGGUUAGUAUGCUUCUUCUUUUUUUUUUUUUUAAGUAGAGAAAUUAAUAAUUCAUUAAUCAAGAGACAAGCCCAAUUACAAACCCCGCAAAAGCAAGGCCGAAAAGUUGCUAAAAACAAAAAGCAUGAGUCUCCAACUCGAUCAAACUAGAAAGAGUGAAAGAAAACCUACAGCUCGCUAAUCUAUAGACCGAUGACCCUACAAAUGAAUAAGAAAAUGCAACAUUAACUAAUCUACCACACCCACCACUCAUGAAUGCUAACAUUGUCGUCGUCGUCGUCGCCGCUAGCAACCAUGAAAUAAUGAAGAGUACUAAAUCAGAGCACUGAAGUCCGAGUAAUUGAUGCCAAACAAAUCCUAAUACACAAAUCGUAUGGAAAUCCGCAACCAAGAGAGAGCUCUCUCAGAAACACACCAUACAAUCCACCAUCGAAACCUAAAUCAUGGAAGAGAAGAGGCGGACGAGAGAGGACCGAGUACCGUAUCCAAAAAAGAAGGAUUAGUAUGCUACUAAAGCAAGAAAUAAGGGUAUCACUAUAAAUCAGCCACGGAUGUUUUAGCUUUUCAGAGUUUGAUCAAAGAGCAAGAAAAAGAUCAUUGGAGAUUAAGAUUUUUACCUUAUCAAUAUUUAUUCAUUUCCAUGAAAGAUAGAUCAUCAUAACAAAAGAGAUUUCUUGAGACAACCUUUGGUGUGAUUAGGAUUAAAGAAAUUUGACAUAACUCAUCCUUCUUGAUGUCAACAUCCUCAAAUUACUUAGUAUGAUUCAAGCCAUUUCCAAUGUAUUACAUGUGGACUAAUUUUAAUUGGCAAUUCUCUUCUUUCUUAUAAUCUCAAAAUUGACUAUUCUCCUUCUCUAUGUACUGAUUUUACCACAUAGUCAAUUAAGACAAGAUAUGCCACCGGAGUUCUCCUAAUCCAUACGCUUUAGUAGGCAGAAUCGGAAAGCCGCUCCUUGUCACUGCAACCUACAUGCAACUAGAGAGAUUCACGGGCAACAGAACCCCGAAGUGAGAGAUUGUUUCACGGUCAAGAAAGAAAAACGUAAUUUCAAAUAUCAGAAGUAUCAGAAGCGUACGAACGAAUCGUCAAACUAUAUAAUAAAAAAAGUCAAACAACAACUUAUAUAUGUUAUUAUAAAUUAAUCAUCCAACUUAAUUUCGAAAAGAAGAUUAAAUUAAGAAACAUGAGAUCAAACUUUGAAAUGAGGAGUGCAUUCAUGGUUGAGAGUUGAGACAUCACAUGAGAGUAAUCAAUGGGUCCUGCAUUUUGAUCAAGGAUUAGGAGACUAAGAUUCCCAUAGUGAAGUGGAAAACCAAUUUAAAAUGAGUCAAUUUGGUCAAUUAUUGUUGAAAAAUAAUCGUCAUUAAUUUGACAGUGAAGAAAAAUAGUAUCCCUUUCAUGAAUUUAAACAGAAAUAAAUAAAAUAUAUGGAAGAAAAAGACAUGGCCAAUCUUUUCAUAAUUUCCAAAUGGCAAUGACCGGGUUACUUCAGCCAAUCAUCCGUAAUAGACUAAGAUGCGGGACGAGUGUCACAUAUGCUAAAAUAAUAUUGAAAUUGACAGACUUGAAUAAUAUUCCAGCUCACCAAUUUCAAAAAGGUCCUGAU
rnacentral:lncRNA from 1 species